CCAACUUGACUCACCAUGCGACUAUUGUUCCCUUCCUCCGAUUGCUCGGGAAUCAAUUCAGGUUCCUCAAUAGGUAUGAUAGGUUCAUCCCUAUUAUUAUGCAACAUUUGUCGCAUCUCCUCCCUUUGUUCGGCUAGCAUAGCCCAAAUCAUGGCUUGCACCGCAGCCAUUGUUAUUGGUUCUGGUGCUGCUGCUACAACAUGUAUUUGCUCAAUCAUUGGCGGUUGAUUCUUGUUUUCAUCCGCGUUUCCAACGCCAUUCCUUGUUCUCAACAUUUUUGAUCUACACACCGAAUAAGGUGAAAUUUAGAUCUUCAUUCACGAUAGAUUUCAAAUCAUCCUUAUCACUCCGAAACGAUUACAUGCUAGUUCUAAUAUCGUAUACAUACGCUUAGAAUCCUAAACACAUAAACCUUCAGAUCCGGUUGGCAACAAACCGUAGAUCCGAACAAAUAAUAUCAUAUAUGGCAACAUAUAACAUUUAGCACAUAAAAGCAUUUUAGGCAACUUUCCUAAAAUAAACUAGUGCUCGUGUCUAAAAUCCAACAGACACACAUCUCAUCAUUCCAUUUAGCAUUCUAAGUUUAAGUCUAGAAAUCCUACAAAUUCCUAGUUCGCUUAAACUAAUGCUCUGAUACCAACUGUGACAUCCCCAAAAUCUCGGCCAGAAAAGACCGAUUUUCAUUUAUGCUUUUAAAUAUUUUCAGAGUAAAUCCUUUUGAUUUGAAAGAGUUGCGGAAUUUGUUCCCAAAACAAAACAUGAUAAAAUAAUAUUUAUCAAAGCAUUUCAUCAAGAGAUGCAUUUCAUUAUAUAAUCAAAACUCGGGAUGUCAUGUUCCGAUACAGACCAUAAAGCAUAAACGAUAAACAUUACAAGUCAUUCAACAAAUAUAUACAUAUACAGACUUGUAAACAAAACAACAAGAUGAUCCAUCCAUCUUACGCCCUUGUGCCACUUCCUGUAAUACAAAUAAAACUGAGUGGGUCAGGCUUGGGAGCCUGGUGAGCAUAUAGGGUUUUCAACCCACAAUAAAUAAAUUAUAUUUAAUUUCACCAACCAAUCACUAUCCCGAUUACCCAUUCCCGUUAUCCUCACUUUACGUCCCUAAAACAACAUCUAUCUCAAGGGACCUAAUCUAGGAUUUUCAUCGGGACGGACAUUACUGCUAAGGGGUUUCCUCAACAUUAAAUAUCCUAAAGGCAACCAUGAGGGGGAUACAGUACAGCGGUGAACACAUCGUUCACAACACCUACAGGUUAUGAACCUGCUAGCGUUCCACUGGACUGUCUAGAAAGAGUCCGUGGUCGUUAUCCAUACUCCGCUGAAUAACUAGAUCAACAACAACAACAACAUCGAGGCCUCUCAUCUGUUUAUUACACACCAACUAUCUACCCAUGUUCUACCCAACAUAUUAGUAGAUAAAAAUAUANNNNNNNNNNNNNNNNNNNNNNNNNNNNNNNNNNNNNNNNNNNNNNNNNNNNNNNNNNNNNNNNNNNNNNNNNNNNNNNNNNNNNNNNNNNNNNNNNNNNNNNNNNNNNNNNNNNNNNNNNNNNNNNNNNNNNNNNNNNNNNNNNNNNNNNNNNNNNNNNNNNNNNNNNNNNNNNNNNNNNNNNNNNNNNNNNNNNNNNNNNNNNNNNNNNNNNNNNNNNNNNNNNNNNNNNNNNNNNNNNNNNNNNNNNNNNNNNNNNNNNNNNNNNNNNNNNNNNNNNNNNNNNNNNNNNNNNNNNNNNNNNNNNNNNNNNNNNNNNNNNNNNNNNNNNNNNNNNNNNNNNNNNNNNNNNNNNNNNNNNNNNNNNNNNNNNNNNNNNNNNNNNNNNNNNNNNNNNNNNNNNNNNNNNNNNNNNNNNNNNNNNNNNNNNNNNNNNNNNNNNNNNNNNNNNNNNNNNNNNNNNNNNNNNNNNNNNNNNNNNNNNNNNNNNNNNNNNNNNNNNNNNNNNNNNNNNNNNNNNNNNNNNNNNNNNNNNNNNNNNNNNNNNNNNNNNNNNNNNNNNNNNNNNNNNNNNNNAUAUAUAUAUAAAUAAAAUAUCGAAAAUAUUUAAUAAACUUCAAAAAUUCAUAUCUUCCUCAUACGAACUCCGUUUUUGACGUUCUUUAUAUCCACGCGUAGGUGAGACUACGAUCUACAACUUUCGUUUAGACUCUGUCGGCUAAUUUUGAAUUUAUGUUUAUUAAUUAUUUUUAGUAGGCCGGGACAGAAAAACUUCGUUAUAAAUUCAUAACUUCUUCGUUUGAUGUCCGUUCUCGCCUAACUUUUCAUUGCUUCGAUACCAACAACGAGAUCUUCGAUUCUCGUUUAGAUUGUUUUGGCUAAAAACCUCUCGAUCUCAAAUCGAGUAUUUCGGGCUGCAUACCGCUAAGUCGAAACUUUAAUAAAUCAUAACUUCCUCAUACAAAGUCAGAUUUGGGCGUUCUAUAUAUAUUCAGAAACCUCGUUUCAACUACUACAACAUUAUCCAAAGAUAACGAGUUUAUUGUACACUUAAAUUUUGACGCUGAUUUUUUAUUCUUAAUUAAUCAAACCACAUAAUUAAGCAAUUAAGCACAAAACACAUAAUACUCAAAUAAUACACUUCUAUUAUUUCAAAACGGGUUACAAAGGUUAACCUAGACUAUUAUAUCCACAUUAAUGACAGGCCCAGAAACACAGGCGUUACAUAUGUGCUCCAAAUGCUCCAUGGGGAUGCUCCAAAUGCUCGAGUCAUAUUUAAUAUAUGUGUUACUCAUGUGUUAUGUGUCACCUUAAAAUAAGAAUUUAUUUUUUAACAAAAGUGAAUCAAGUAUAUCAUAUUUUUGUAAUUUUUUUCUAUAUAAAUAUAAAAUAAUAGUCCAAUAUUGAUUAUAUUUUCAAUACAUAGAUAAAAUAAUAGUCCAAUAUUGAUUAUAAAUAAUUAAAUUUUACUGUUUUUGUGUAAAUUAAAAAUAUUAAUGUUUUAUAUAAAUUAAAACUAAAAUUAUUGAUUAACUAUAUUAAAAUUUUAUAAUACAAAAUUGGGUUGAAUUAUGUUGCUAAUAAUGUAACACCCCGACUCCCAUGUAUAAAUUUUAAAGCUUUUAUAUUCAUAAUUAUAGACCUACUCGACGAGUUGGCUGCCCCAAAUCGUCGCGUAGAGACUGAUCAGACCACGUGAUUUAUGGGACCUACUUGACGAGUUCAAGGACCCCAACUUGACGAGUAGAGGUUGUACAUGAAAACCCUAACUUUUUGGGUUUGCACCCUACUUAAAGGACCUUAAGUCCUCCUUCUAGCCUCCUUACCACUUUUUCAUCGUCCCCUUACCAGAGAAAACCCUAAUCUCCACUUUAUAUGAGUGUGUGAGCUUGGAAGUCAUUUUAGGUGCUCUUUUGAAAGGAAACUUGAAGGUUGAGGAGGUUGGGUCAAGAAGAAGGUUGUAGAUCCGUUAUCUACUUUGUAUUGUCUACCAAUCUGAGGUAUAGCCUUGACUUCUCAUUACUUAGAUCUUCCCUUGUGAAAGAAAAUGGUCAUUUCUAAUGGACUCACUUUCGCGUUUGAGCUUGUCACGAGGACACGGUUUCAUAUCUGGACUCCUUUAGGCCCCCAUAGUCAUAAAGUCAUUGGCUUUAUCAAGUUUUAGCCCUUCUCCAUGCCCUAAACUUAUUCUUAGACUUAGUUUGGGUGUUUUAAGCCUUUUGAGACCUUGUAUGUAGGUAAAGUUAGCAACUUUAUGUGGUAACUUCACCCUAGGAAGCUAGAUCUACAGUUUGGAGCCUUGGUUUCACUUAAAAGCGUCUGAAUGAGAAAAUGACCGAAGGAACUCGAUGAGUUGCAUAGUCAUCUUGACAAGUUGGAUGAGGGUUUCCCGCUUUUCAGGAUUCUGCAUGAAGUCGGCGAGUUAGUGAGUUGGUUGGGUUUCCUCAAUAUUCUUGAUACUACAUGGACUCGAAGAUUUGUCAAGUAACUCUGCGAGUUGACUGGGGUUUUCGUGAUCCUAUGAGUUAUGAAGGAACUCGGUGAGUCUGUAAGCUGCACUCGACGAGUUGGGUCAACAUGGACUGUUGACCUUGACCGUUGACGUUGACUUUGACCAAGGGUUGACCCAAUUAGACUUCUGAGGAUAUUUUUGUAAUUUGGGAAUUUAUGGAAUUGGAUCAAUGGUGGUCGUAGGUGUUGGUGUUUGGAGCCGUGUUUUGGGAGUUUAAUAUUUCAGUUCUGGUCGACAUUGUGAGGUGAGUUUUCCUCAUUAUACUGAAGGGCCGAAGGCACCAAGGUCGGCCCUUUGGAUUUUUAUCCUGCUUUAUUGUUAGUGUGAUAUGUUAGAGUGGUAUCCUAGUAGAUAGGAUGUUUAUAUGUGGUUAUGAUCAUGUAGAUUGGUAUCCUGGCAGAUAGGAUGUUUCCAUGCUUAGUGAUCUGUAAAUCGGUUUGUCUGUCCGUAGACUGUUAUGUGAUUAUCUGAUAUAUGUGCACAUGACUGAUUGGUGGUUGAGGCUCAUCUGGUUUUUGCGAGAGCUAACAAACCGAGGCAUUCCAACCCGAUGGUUGUGGGCCGAGAGUAUUCCAUCCCGAGGAUGAUUGGACUCAUAGUAUGUGGGCAUUCCAACCUGAUGGUUAUGGGAUGAGGGUAUACCAUCCCGAGGAUGAUUGGACACAUAGUAUCUUGGCACUCCAACCCCGAUGGUUGUGGGCCUAGGGCAUUUCAAACCAAUGGUUGAUUGGGCCCAUAGUAUGCUGUUAUUAUAUGUGUGUUAUUUGUUGUGCGAGUAUUUUGGGGGAACUCACUAAGCUUCAGGCAUAUAGUUUUGGAUUUUGUUUCAGGUACUUCGGAUGAUUGCAGGAAGGCGAAGGCGUGAUCGUGCACCUCCUCGCAUUUUAUGAUUUUGAUUUCUGGGAUACUUAGAUAUGAAACUAUUCUAAAAACAUUUUGUAAUAAAUAAUGAUUUUUGGAUGUUUAAAAAGUUUAAAAUUUAUAUGAAAUUUAUGGAUGUUACCGUUGGGUUUUAAGCACUAUAACACUCCUAUGGUGCAAAUGCAACUCUAGAUGUUUUGGAUCUAUGUUUUCUCUAAUUAUACAUGCAUUUUCAUUUUUCCAAAGCAUACAUCCUAGCUAGCAUAGAAUGGAGGAUAUACAACAUAAAAACUCAUAGCUUGAUAUAUACCUCUUAUGUAGUUUGAAGUUCUUGGCCUUUGAAAGCUUUAGCACCUCAAGUGUGAGGCCUCUAAUGUGUCACAGACACCAAAUGGAAGAGGAUGCUUGAGAGAAUAGUCCAGUUCGCUCAAAAUUGAUUAUCACUCUCUUAGAAUGAUUGGGCAACCGAUUUUAGCUCUAUGGGAUUGCUUUUAUAGUGUUACAAAGGCUGGGGUUUCAUCCAUGCAAACCCUAAUGCACCAUGACCCUUCAUAUUACUUAGGCUCCAUGGGUUAAACCUCCAUGGACUUUCACAUUGGUUUAGCCCAUCCUAAUUAACCAUGGAUCAUGAUCGGUAAUGAGCAUAACAUCAUUCUUAUGCUGUUCAUGCAACCCUAAUUGCUUUGAUCUAGGUUUUUCUAAUUUGAACAUACAACAUUGAAUACCAAAGCAAUAAACCCUAUGAACUAGCAUAUAAUUCGAAAUUGACAUAUGAUUAGGGUUAGAAACAUUACCUUGAUUGUUAUGUAGCAAUAAUAAUCCCAAUCCUUCUUGAUCUUGACUUCUGAAAGCCUAGUGCCUCAAAUGUUGCACCUCUAAUGGAAUCACAAACACCCAAUGCAAGAGGAAGACUUGGAGAGGGAAGGAUUUCGGCUAGGGUUUCUCAUAGAAGACUUGGUGGCCGAAAAUCCUUAGUAUAGGGGUCUGUUUAUACUUGUGGCUGCUAGGGUUUUAGGUGUAAACCCUAACUGCUUAAGCCUUAAGCAGCCCAUGAACUCCUUCCUUAGAGCCCAUGGACGAAAUCUUAUGGGCUUCCCCAUAAAUUUCGUCCACUCCACUCUAUGGAGUCCAUCAGCCCAAUUAUGCAACUAUCAAUGAUUUGCAUAACAGUCCCCUAAUAAUUUAAUCAGUCUCUUUUGAUCACCAAAUUAAUUCCAAAUUAAUUUCUGAUCAAUACUAAUUAAAUAAUAUGAUUUUCAAAUAAUAUAUUAAAUUUGUAAUAUAUUAAUAAAACCAUUUUGAGUACCAAUUUAUUAUUCCUAUAAUAAAUCCUACCCUCUCUCCUCUUGUCAUCCAAUCAAGUUACAUGAGUGAAGGCAACCCAAAAGGACCAUGCUCAUAAUCGGGACAAGUACAUACCAAAAUAGUUAUGGGCUUAGACACCUAAUCCAAAAGAUCAUUGGCCCACACUAUAAGAAUCAUUGAUUUACUUAAUCAGUCCUCGUAUAUUGAAUCAGUCUCUUUUGAUCACUAAAUUAAUUCCAAUUUAAUUCUUGAUGAAUACCAAUUAAAUAAUAUGAUUUCUCAAUUAAUAUAUUAUACUUAUAAUAUAUUAAUAAAUCAUAAAUAACCUUUCUCUCAAAAGUCCAUCGUAUCAAAUUGCACUGGUGAAGGCAACCCAAAAGGACCAUGCAACUAUCGGGUCAAGUACAUCCCAGUUAUAGUUAUGGGCUUAGAUACCUAAUCCAACAGUCUCCCACUUGGAUAAGUCUAAUAACUAUAGCUUCCAAUGAAACUUCAAGAUCCGAUUAGCAAUCGUAGCUUUCAAAAGCCACUGUCGAACUCUGACCCAGUCAAUGAUGCACCCUUUAGAUAAGGGAUCAUAUAUUCAUUUGUUCUUCAAGAUAUCAUGCAAACAAAUACAUGGAACAUAGUCAUACUUAUUGUCCUGCAGUUUGUUUCCCGAUUUCUGAUUUGUCUGACAGAGAACAUAACUGAACACAUCAAUUUAGUUCUGACCGGGCCCGAAACAUAAGUCAAAACAAAUCAUCGAGGGGCCCAAGAUAUCAAUUUUAAUCCUCUUAGGAUAAAAGGAAUAGAUAAACGUCGACAUUAUAUGCUUGUACAAACCACUCGUUAAAUCAUGCACAACGAUAUGUUUUAUAACAUCAAGUUAUUGAUGUGUUUUCGUAUCAUCAAUGCACAACUAACUCUUAGUCAACAACUCAUAUAUCUUGGUUUGAAGAUUAUAUGAUAUUAUCAUCUCACAAUCACUUGUGGUAAAUUCCAUGAAGUGAAUCAGGUGAGCGUGGGUUUAAUAGAAUACUCAAAUCUUAUUUCAGGAGUAAUCAUGAACGUUGUAGUAUACUUUUGUUAUGUGUAACACCUUAGACAAUCUACAAGCCAAUUUCAUGACAAUCUAGCCUCAUAACCUACUUCCACAGUUUGAUCGACUGUGGAUAGUCUGAAUAACCUUAUUAUUCUGGAAGUCAAAACAUGCAAAAGUGAAACAAUAGUAAAUAAUUGACACAAGACAGUAACUUUACUUAUAAAUAAAACUCUUUUUAUUUAAUCAUCAAAUGUCAAUUACAGUUUAGCUAUUACAAGAUUCAAAUAUUUAUCUAAUCACUAAAACUAAUAUCUUUCGUUAGCCCAGUGCCCCUUGCGUGCUGUAAGUGCCUAACCCUACUCAGUCCCUUCGUGAGACGAUCUACUGGUUUGUCCUCUGACGAUAUCCUCUUCGCAACGAGGUGUCCUUCUUCUACUUGAUGUCUUAUGAAGUGGUACUUUCUGUCGAUAUGCCUGGAUCUACCUUGAUCUCUUGGUUGCUUGGUUAAGGCAACUGCCCCUUCAUUAUCGCAGAAAAUCUCCACAUGCUCCUUUAUGGAUGUCACAACUCUAAGAUCUCUGAUGAAGUUCUUCAACCAUAUCGCCUCUUUUGAUACUUCACUCACUGAUUUGUACUUUGAUUCACACGUUGAAUCAACUAUUGUCUCUUGCUUGGAACUUUUCCAUGUUACUGCUCCUCCAUUUAGUGUAAACACCCAGCCGGACUGAGAGCGCAAACUAUCUCUGUUGGUCUGAAAAUCGGCCUCACAAUACCCUAUCACUCUUAAGUCAUCACUCCCACCGAGGGUAAGAACCCAGUCCUUAAUCCUCUGUAGGUACUUAAGAAUGUUUUUACUGCAAUCCAGUGUGCUCUACCAGGAUUCCCUUGAUAUCUACUGACCAUGCUUAAAGAAAAGGCCACAUCAGGGCAAGUACAAUUCAUAGUAUCGAGCCAACUGCAGAAGCGUAUGGAACUCGACUCAUCUGCGAUAUCUCAGCCUCUGUACUCAGACUUUGAGUCUUACUCAGUUUGGUAUUGCUUUGGAUAGGUAAGUCACCUUUCUUGGAGUUCUCCAUAGUGAAACGUUUCGACACCUUGUCCAAGUAGGUACUUUGACUAAGUCUUAUUAGUCUUUUACUCCUGUUUCUCAAUAUUUGUAUCCAUAGAAUAUAGGCAGCUUCUCCAAGGUCCUUCAUAACGAAACACUUCCUAAGCCAGGACUUAAUUUUCUACAAGGUUGCAAUUUUGCUUCCUAUGAGAAGUAUGUCGUCCAUAUACAACACUAGAAAGCUAACUACACUCCCACUGGCUUUGACGUAUACACAAGACUCAUCCUCGCUUCUCGAAAAUCCAAACUCUUUGACUUUCACAUUGAAACAAAGAUUCCAUCUGUGAGAUGCUUGUUUCAAUCCAUAAAUGGAUUUCUCAAGCUUACACACUCUAUUAGGGUACUUUGCAUUGACAAAAACCUCUGGAUGACUCAUGUAAAAAUCUUUAGCCAACUUUCCAUUAAGGAAAGUGGAUUUGACAUCCAUUUUCCAUAUUUCAUAGUCAUUAAAUGCAGCUAUAGCAAGCAUAACCCUUACAGAUUUUAACUUUUCUACUGGUGAGAAGGUUUGAUCAUAGUCAAAUCCCUGAGUUUGAGUAAAGCCCUUCGCAACCAGUCAUGCCUUAUAUGUGUGUACUUUCCCAUCCAUGUCGGUCUUCUUUUUGAAGAUCCAUUUGCACCAGACUGUCUUACAACCUGGUACAUUGUCAACCAAGUUACAAACUUGAUUGUCAUACAUGGACUGAAUCUCGCUGUCCAUUUCCUCUUUCUUUUUAGCAGACUUGGGGCCUGCCAUGGCUUCCUUGUAGCUGUUAGUUUCAUCCAGAUUUAUCAAUGAACUACCAUUGGCAAAUGUAUCACGUUCAGCUGUUAUAUGAAAACCAUAUAACCUAGUUGGAAAACCAACUCUAGUUGUAACGACCGAAAAAUACAACCAAUUUUAACUUUUUCAAAAACAACUCGAUUCCAUUAAAUCCUUACAAAAAGGUUUUCAAUAUAAAACAUUUAACGUAUUCCUAGAAUCACAUUACUAAAAAAUCACGAGGAACGGUACGAUCACGCCUUCGCCUUGCCACGGUCUCCUGAAAAACCUGAAAAACAUAAAACCACAACUGUAAGCCCGAAAGAUUAGUGAGAUAUCCACAAAAUACCAACCACUAACACCAUACACGCAUAACAUGCCACAACAUAUCAGAUCAUAGAACAGCCAUGCACUUCGGGUCUACUGUGUGACUGGUCCGCCGCACCGGCCUACAGUCCACCUGGUCCACCCUCUGAGUCUAGUCACAUACAUCAAGUCUGCAGUGUGAUUGGUCCGCCCGCACCGGGCCUUGAAUCCACCUGGUCCACUCUCUGAGUCUACAGUAUGACUGGUCCGCCCACACCGGGCCUUCAGUCUGCCUGGUCCACUCUUCGAGCCUCGGCACGUCUAGUCCGCCCUCUUGGGGCCUACAGCCUAUCCGGACCGCUCGCUGGGCCUUCAGAACAACCGGUCCGCCCUGGGUAUCUUGGCCUACAGCACAAAGCAGGCCGCCUCAACCCAACUCCAGUCCAAACAACCAUGUUCACAUAUACAUACAAUCAUAUAGAAAUUCACAGUCAACAAACAUAUCAAACAGAUCACAUAACAUAUCAUCAUCCUAACCAGGAUACCGACCUAACAGGUCACUAACAUAGCAUCUCCCUAUCUCUCAGGAUACCGAUCUCAAUCAGGUCUCUAACAUAUACCAUCCUAGCUCACAAGAUGCAAACAUAUCAAAGCAGUAACAUAAUAACAACUACCCGGAUCCCAAUCCGAUAAGGGCCGGCCUUGGUGCCUUAGACCUUGUUGAUAUAGUGAGGAUAACUCACCUCGAAAUUGCCGGCUGCAAGGAUAAGAUCUCUCUGCUCCAAACUCCGACUCGAACUCCUCCACUGAACACCAACACACUCAACUCAAUAAAUACCCUUAAUUACCAAAAUACCCCUAAAAGACAACUGGUCAACCUUUCGACAAGGUCAAGGUCAACCCCUGACUGACUCUACUCGCCGAGUCAACCCGAUGACUCGCCGAGUCCCCAUACUCAGAACUUCCCUCAAUCCGCGACCUAACUCGCCGAGUCACCCCGAGACUCGUCGAGUCCAACAACUCUGAGUCCACUCGCCCACAACUCACCGAGUCAUCCCUUGACUCGCCGAUUCUCGACUCAACCAGAAAAUAUUGGGACUCUUCGACAAGACUCGCCGAGUCCAAGAACAGACUCGCCGAGUCUAAGGCUAUCUUCAACCUACUCGCCGAGUUGUUCAUACAACUCGCCGAGUUCCAGGCCAUCUUCAUCCAACUCGCCGAGUUGUUCUUCCAACUCGUCGAGUUCCAGCUCAUCUUCAAGCAACUCGUCGAGUCCACCCAUGUGACUCGCCGAGUACCACCGGUCUGAAUCCAUACAGAAGCACUCCAGGCCAUGCAAUUGAUCCAAAACAUAGAUCUAGCCUCCUACAACCCAUCCAUCACGUAAAGUGGCAAACUUUACGUGAAUCCAAAGAGAUCUAGGCCUUUAACACUUUAGGGCUAGGGUUUGGGACAUGAUAGCUUCACUACACACUUGAACACAGGGACUUUCAGGCAUUCCAACCCUUCUCCAUUCCAGAUCUGAGGUAGCAACCUCAGAUCUAACCUCUAAACUCCAAAACACCAAAAGAUAAGCUCCCCACAAACCCCAUAAUGAUGAAUCCAUAAGAAUAACAGCCCAAGGAUGAGAUAUUACCUCAAAAGAACGCCCCAACUGCAAUGGAACUCGAAUCCAAUCAAAGCCCCUUGCUCCAAGCCUCUCCUUUAUCAAGAUCUCUUCAACAACCACCUCUCCAAGCUCUAAUUCACUCAACAAUGGGGUUUCUCCACGAAAUUGGGGUUUCUGAGACUCAAGGGGGUGAUAAGGAGGCUGGGGAGGAAACAUCAUGUUCCUUAUAUAGGGCUCAACUUCCAAAUUUAGGGUUUUCUCCAUUCAGGGCCUACUCGCCGAGUCCAAUACACUGACUCGCCGAGUCGGCCACUUAACACACGACGAAGUCGCGACUCUACUCGCCGAGUCCCCCCCAUGGACUCGCCGAGUCUAUCUUUCCCAUUUUACUCUUUUAGCCCUUCAACUUUACUCUUGCUAUUCCGGGAUGUUACAAUUCUCCCCCACUUACAUUAGGCUUCUUCCUCGAAGCCUGCAACAACUCAACUCGUAGAAAUACUCCUGCCAUACACCACCUGGCAUUAAACCAUCAGGUUUCUUAAAACACAACCGUCGAACCAGAAACUCGUUUUCUCCUUCCUUACGGUGUCCUGACCAUCGUCUCGAGUCGGGCACCGCCUGUACCCUGUGAUAAUCACACUCAACAACCGAGAAUUACCCACUAUGUAUCACUGCUCCAAAUCUCAACAAUCACUCGACCAUAUGGGCUAGAAAACCAUGAACCAUCGGAUCCCCGAUCCGAAUCCCACUCUAUCCGUUCCAUGCCGAUGGAAAGACCCAUGCUUCAAUUUCAGAGCAACUCCCACGAGUUCUCCUCUUGCAAUCACCUACACAUGCUGAACUAGCUCUAGCACCCUCAGGUUGGGAAAACCCGAUACACUGAUGAUAUUCUCAAACAUCCCCCAGGAUGAACCACUACUACGCAUCAACCCUUGAUCAGAAUCACACUGAGAGCCCAAGACUCUCUCCCUGCAUCCCUUCCGAGCCUCUUGGCUCUACACUUGCGGGAUUCCCUCCGCGAUCUCAGCAGACAUCCCAAACCGGAUGAGCUUCUAUUCUACUGCCGCAAACACGCUGCUCAAUAACCAUACUCGAAUUACUCUAUUCAUAACUCUGCUCUGCCGCUUUCACUUCCGUGAACUUGCACUCCUUCGCGGAGUUACACACCUCUCUCUUUUCCUUACCCAGGAAUCCACUUGGCCACAUUGUCACUCCGAUAAGUGCCACGGUGCUCACUCAACGCUGCACCACCCCUUUAUAGCAUAACCGCUAUCCAUCCAACACACAUGCUCUGAAUCUGCUCGCAAGGACUCUCGAGUCCAUGCACCUCCUCCACUAAUCAAGAUCAAUACCCGGGGCCAGACCUCCUGAUGCUAACAUAUCGCAACAUACUCAAUCCCUUUCCUCAACCGGACUAGCAAUACCUGCAGAGUCUUCAGCAUGACUGGACCACCUCACUAGACCUUCAGCCAAUCUGGACCACUCUCAGAACCUUCAGCCAAUCUGGACCGCUCUCAGUGCCUUCAGUUUGGCCGGACCAUUCUCAGAGCCUUCGGCCUGACCGAUAUGCCUACCGGCCUUCAGUCUAUCCGGACCGCUCCCCUAGCACUCACCAUUCCGAGCUAUCACUCACGGAAAUCCUCCUAUGCACACUGUUCUAGCCCUUUACGGGUUCCGAACUCUAUCUCAAUCACAAAUGCUCGAUCCCGGCCUGAUCCCAGGCCCUUCACAAUAAAUGCCCUAGGUCUGUAUCUCGCCCCUCAUGCCCGACACUUGCUCCUAUCAGCCUAUACUCUGGGCUGACAGAACACUGCUGAAUCCCAGCAGCUAAGCACCCUCAAAUACUCAUUGAUCUUCCGGAGAAUUCUCCAAUUCUCCCCCACUUGUAGCACUGAUUAACAACCAUCGGUCGCCAUCACCGACCUCUCAGAACAACUCUGCACAAAGAAAACACUUACACGCAGACUGCUUCCCACAAGCAUAAACAACCUUAACAAGAUCCCACAUCAACACUGAUUAUCCCGCUCGAAAGAAACUCAAUCUGCAUCUAACCAUUCCUCAGAAAGCAGAUGCUACCCGGCCUUCAAACCAAUGCCAGGCUCCCACUAAUAACUCUCAUGAAUGAUAACCAACGAAAUUCCCAAAACAAUAACCCAUAACCAAAUCGCAACCCUCAAAAUGACGAAUACUACAUCGAAAACCAAACAAAAUACCAGCACAUAAACAAUACACCACAAUAUUCACAAGAUAACAUGAUAUCAAGAAAGAAACAUACCCACAACUGCAUCCGACACUGCUCUGACCUCCUCUGCCGCAAGCUGAUAAGCACGACCCUGAGCCCUUGGGGGCUCCGCUCCACCCUGAUCUCCACCUGUAAUCCUUAAAGUGGCCGGUGCUGGAGCCUGCACCAGUCCCGCAGCAAGCUGUGGACAGUUGACCCUCAAAUGUCCAACCUGAUGACAAUGAUAACAAAUCCUCAAAUCCCGAACCGGCGCUGACUGCCGACACUCCCUCGCAUAGUGCCCCUCCUUUCCGCACUUGCGGCAUGCACCACCGGACCUACAAACUCCGGUGUGGCCCCUCCCACACUUCCCACAAGUGUGGCUGCUCAGAUCCCCCACUCUAACAUCAACGGUCUUGGACCGUUUCGGCGCCGGCUGCGACUGCACCGGAGCCUGUCGCAGCUCAUGCAACUGCAGCUCAAUCUCUAACUCACGCCGCCUAGCGGCCUCCUGCAACUCCAACAAGGUCUCGCACCUCUGGGCAGACACAAACUGUCUGAUGUCCCUCUUGAGCAUGCUCAGAUAUCGAGACAUCUGAGCCUGCUCCGAAGUGAACUCUGGGCAAAACAUUGCCUUCUCAGUGAACAUCUUGGUGAUCUCAAUCACCGACUCCGAACCCUGCUUUAGCUCAAGGAACUCCUGAGCCAAUCUCUCCCUCUCAACUUGUAGAACAUAACGAGUGCUGAACAUUUCUCUAAACUGAUCCCACGAAACCGCAGCCCGCUGCGCAUCCGAAUAUGACCCCGUGGUCAAUCUCCACCAAUCCUUCGCCCCGAGCCUUAACAGGUUCAGAGCACACCUCACCCUCUGAUCAGCAGGGCAGGAACACGUGAAGAAACACCCCUCCACGUCCGACAACCAUCUCAUAGCAACAAUCGGGUCCUGAACUCCAUCGAAGGUGGGAGGCUUCGUAUUAUCGAAGUCCCGAUACUGAAAACCCCAACCGACUCCUCCCCUUGCCGCGGCAGCCGUCUUAGUGAGAGCCGCAUAGCGCUCAUCAAAAUACUCAACCAUGGCGGUCUUGAUCGACCCAAACAGCUCUGGCAACUCAGCCCGGAACAACUCAGCAAUCUCAUCACGCAGGAUCUCACGAAUCCUCGCAUCCAACUCGCUCGUGCUCAUCUGACCGAUAACCUCGGGCGGCACCGAUCCGCCCGGAACUCUCUCUCCAGCUCCCGAUCCUGACCCGGAUCCACUCUCAUCAUGCCUCGGAAUCUCCAUACUGAAAAACACCACACAAAAUCUCAGACUCUUCCCACUAACCUGGGAUCCAACUCUCUCAACCCAACCCUAGAGAUCAUGGUUUCCCUGAUACGCGUAUGGGUCCUGUGCUUUCAGUAGUACGGGCCCAUACUACCUUCCACACCUACCCAUAUUUGUAUGAAGUACUACCACAACACCCUAGAGAAACAUGCAUAACAACGCUCAACCCUCACCACUAGAGGAACACUGAAAAUCUCCCAUAAGGAACCCUAGGCUACAGGCAUCACAAAUCAGGCAACAUUAUCAUGAAAUCCUGAAGAUCCCUAGCCUAUCACUAGCAUGCUGUUCUAUCAAAGCUCAAAAACAAAUAACAUGCAUGGUAUUUUGGGGUUACUUACUGGCUCCGGCUGAUCGUACCUCCGCGUCCUCCCUUACUCAUUUUGAAAACCAUUUUAAAUACUCUUUUGAAAACUCUCCUCGAUUUGAGACUGGAGUCACACGAAUGUUCCUCCAAUUCACUCAAACCAAGGCUCUGAUACCAACUUGUAACGACCGAAAAAUACAACCAAUUUUAAAUUUUUCAAAAACAUCUCGAUUCCAUUAAAUCUUUACAAAAAGGUUUUCAAUACAAAACAUUUAACGUGUUCCCAGAAUCACAAUACUACAAAAUCAUGAGGAGCGGUACGAUCACGCCUUCGCCUUGCCACGGUCUCCUGAAGAACCUGAAAAACAUAAAACCACAACUGUAAGCCCGAAAGCUUAGUGAGAUAUCCCCAAAAUACCAACCACAUAUACCAUACACGCAUAACAUGCCAUAACAUAUCCGAUCACAGAACAGCCAUGCACUUCGGGUCUACUGUGUGACUGGUCCGCCGCACCGGCCUACAGUCCACCUGGUCCACCCUCUGAGUCUAUCCACAUACAUCGAGUCUGCAGUGUGAUUGGUCCGCCCGCUCCCGGGCCUUCAAUCCACCUGGUCCACUCUCUGAGUCUACAGUAUGACUGGUCCGCCCGCACCGGGCCUUCAGUCUAUCUGGUCCACUCUCCGAGCCUUCGGCACGUCUGGUCCGCCCUUUCGGGGCCUACAGCCUAUCCGGACCGCUCGCUGGGCCUUCGGGACAACCGGUCCGCCCUGGGUAUCUUGGCCUACAGCACACAGCAGGACCCGCCUCAACCCAACUCCAGUCCAAACAACCAUGUGCACAUAUACAUACAAUCAUAUAGCAAUUCACAGUCAACAAGCAGAUCAAACAGAUCACAUAACAUAUCAUCAUCCUAACCAGGAUACCGACCUAACAGGUCACUAGCAUAGCAUCUCCCUAUCUCUCAGGAUACCGAUCUCAAUCAGGUCUCUAACAUAUACCAUCCUAGCUCUCAGGAUGCAAACAUAUCACAGCAAUAACAUAACAACAACUACCCGGAUCUCAAUCCGAUAAGGGCCGGCCUUGGUGCCUUAGACCCUGUUGAUAUAGUGAGGAUAACUCACCUCGAAAUUGCCGGCUGCAAGGAUAAGAUCUCGCUGCUCCAAGCUCCGACUCGAACUCCUCCACUGAACACCAACACACUCAACUCGAUAAAUAACCUUAAUUACCAAAAUACCCCUAAAAGACAACUGGUCAACCUUUGGACAAGGUCAAGGUCAACCCUUGACUGACUCUACUCACCGAGUCAACCCGAUGACUCGUCGAGUCCCCAUACUCAGAACUUCCCUCAAUCUGCGACCUAACUCGCCGAGUCACCCCGAGACUCGUCGAGUCCAACAACUCUGAGUCCACUCGCACACAACUCACCGAGUCAUCCCUUGACUCACCGAUUCUCGACUCGACCAGAAAAUAUUGGGACUCUUCGACAAGACUCGCCGAGCCCAAGAACAGACUCGCCGAGUCUAAGGCUAUCUUCAACCUACUCGCCGAGUUGUUCAUACAACUCGCCGAGUUCCAGGCCAUCUUCAUCCAACUCGCCGAGUUGUUCUUCCAACUCGUCGAGUUCCAGCUCAUCUUCAAGCAACUCGUCGAGUCCACCCAUGUGACUCGCCGAGUACCACCGGUCUGAAUCCAUACAGAAGCACUCCAGGCCAUGCAAUUGAUCCAAAACAUAGAUCUAGCCUCCUACAACCCAUCCAUCACGUAAAGUGGCAAACUUUACGUGAAUCCAAAGAGAUCUAGGCCUUUAACACUUUAGGGCUAGGGUUUGGGACAUGAUAGCUUCACUACACACUCGAACACAGGGACUUUCAGGCAUUCCAACCCUUCUCCAUUCCAGAUCUGAGGUAGCAACCUCAGAUCUAACCUCUAAACUCCAAAACACCAAAAGAUAAGCUCCCCACAAACCCCAUAAUGAUGAAUCCAUAAGAAUAACAGCCCAAGGAUGAGAUAUUACCUCAAAAGAACGCCCCAACUGCAAUGGAACUCGAAUCCAAUCAAAGCCCCUUGCUCCAAGCCUCUCCUUCUUCAAUAUCUCUUCAACAACCACCUCUCCAAGCUCUAAUUCACUCAACAAUGGGGUUUCUCCACGAAAUUAGGGUUUCUGAGACUCAAUGGGGUGAUAAGGAGGCUGGGGAGGAAACAUCAUGUUCCUUAUAUAGGGCUCAACUUCCAGAUUUAGGGUUUUCUCCAUUCAGCGCCUACUCGCCGAGUCCAAUACACUGACUCGCCGAGUCGGCCACUUAACACGCAACCAAGUCGCGACUCUACUUGCCGAGUCCCCCCAUGGACUCGCUGAGUCUAUCUUUCCCAUUUUACUCUUUUAGCCCUUCAACUUUACUCUGGCUAUUCCGAGAUGUUACACUAGUGGAACGUCUCAGAGGUACGGACUAGUCAAUCGAUUCAACAGGAGUUUCCUCCUAGGGUUGAGCACCAAUAUUUGAGGUUCCUUCAUCACUUAACUCUUGAAGCUCUUCAACGUCAAUUUUGAUGGGUUUUGAGCAUUCUAACAUUCCUAUGGUGUACAUGCAACCCUAUAAACCUUGGAUCUAUGUUUUCUCUAUUAUACAUGCAAAUAUUCAAUAUUAAUCCAAUGUUUUAUCCUAACUAGCAUAUUAAAAGCAACUAUUCUACAAAAGUCUAGUUAGAAGACAUACCUUUUGAUGUGGCUUGAAGUCUUGAACUUUAAGAGCUUAGCCCCAAUAGUGUGGAAGCCUCAAGUGGAAUCACAAAUCACCAAAAAACUCCUUGGAAAACUUGAGAGAAUAAUAAGCACACUAGAAAUUGGCCCACUCUUGUUUACUCACACACUAGUGCCAUUUCGUGUGCCAAAUACCUAUUUAUAUAGUAUGGGGGAUUAGGGUUACAUUCAUGUAAACCCUAAUACCCAUGAACUUUCAUUUCCAUAAGAUCCAUGGGUUAAAAACUCAAUGGACUCUCCAUGCAAGCUUAGCCCAACCUAAUUAAAUAAUAUGAUUCCAUAUUAAUAUAUUAGAACUUAUAAUAUAUUAAUAUAAAUCAUAAACAUACUAUUCUCAAAAGACUAUCCAUAUCAAUUGUCCCGGUGAAGUGCAACCCAAAUGGACCAUGCCAAAUCGGGUCAAGUACAUACCAAUUAUAGUUAUGGACUUAGACACCAAUCCAACAGUCUCCCACUUAAAGUCGCUGUCGAACUCUAACCUUAGUCAAUGACUUGUCCAUUAGAUAAGGGAUCAUAUAUUCCUCCAUUCUAGAUAUCAUAUGGACUGAGACAAGGAUUAUAAUCAUUCUCUCUGUCCAUUUUUUGCUUCCCGAUUUCUGACUUAUGACGACUGACUAAUUGAACAAAUCAAAUCAGUCCAGGCUUGGCCAAGCACUUCUGGGUAUCAUCACUAAAUCAUCGAGGGCCCCACAGAUAUCGCUUUUAUCCCUUUAAGGGUAAAAGGAAUGUAUAAACAUCGACUCAGAUGAUUGUUCUACUACUUGUUGAAUCAUAAACAAAGAAACGUUUUAUAACAUUGAGUUACCAAUGCGUUUUCAUACAAUCAAUGUAUAAACAACUCAUAUCUCUAGGUUUGAAGAAUAUAAGAUAUUAUCGUCUCAUGAUCACUCGUGAUAAAAUCCAUGAAGUGAGUCAAAUGAGCGUGGGUUUAAUCCAAUACUCAGAACUUAUGAGCACUCAUGAAUGUUGCAUCAACUCUUGUUAUGUCCAAUACCUUGGACAUCUACAAAGCUACUUCAUGACAGUCUUGUCUUAAUACCUACUUCCAACGUAUUAUCGACUGUGGAAGGUUUGAACAACUUAGUCAUUUAGGAAGAACGACCUAGUUAUUCUGGAAGUCAAAACAUGCAAAGUGAAAGACAAGAAUAAUCGAAUCUAAUAUGGUCUCAGAAUUUUGAAUAUAAAUAAAUGUGACAACCUAAAAUUUCUAUCUUGUGCAACAUUCAAUUCAAUCAAUGUCAGACUUGUUUCUGCUAUCUUUUAGCAUUGUUUAGAGUCUGUGUGAGUGUUCUAAGCUUAGCACAAUCAAGAUUAGGAUUUAGAGAUGAGUUAUCUCAAGUCAUAGGGUUACAUUAGGGCCAAUCACACCUUCAAGAGGAGUGUACGGCCGAACACCCCCUCAUGGUCGUGAACUCAUGCCCUUAACUAAGCCUACCCUUCUCCUUCAUUCAUUUUUCACACUUCCAAGCCAAGAAAACCUGAUUUUUCUCUCAACUAUCAUCAAGUUUUUCACUUUGAUCUUCAAAUAAGUAAGUGUUUCCUACCUUGAUUUGUAGCUACAUUGCUUUAACUAGUGAUGAAUCCAUGUUUUCAUUCCAUAAAUUUCAUCUUUGGCUAGAUCUUCAUCUUUCACCAAGAACACCAAGAACACACACUAGUUCUUGGUGGCCGUGAAACCCAUAAGGACCCUCAAAAGUGUAAGUACCUCUUCUAUCAUGUAGUUAGGAUUAAGAAACACUCGAUUUCUAGCCUUAAAUCAUCAUCAAAUGCAUGAACACCAAGGGUGUACAACUGUACACUCAUCAUAUUGCUGUAAACCCUUGUUUAGUGCAUGCUUAGGCCUCAAUCACACCCCAUGUCCCAACAUAGGACCUUGAACACUAAGUGGAUGCUAGUUAGAGCCAUGAAACACCUCGUUUUGCAAAGUUUUCUAUGGGUGUAUGGGUGUACACUCCAUGGUCGUACACCAUGACCGUAUACCACAAGGGUUGUACACAUACUGGCCGUACACACCUAGUAUGGUCGUGAACACCCUUCCUUUUGGCCGUACACGCCUUUGAUGCAAUCACAUGUGAUUGUAGCACUUGCUUUCAAGUGUUUCCUAGUCCAAGGGUUGUCUAUUCUAGCAUAUUAGUGGUUUUAUAGACUAAUAUCAGGCUUAUAUGUAUCAUUAUAUGAUGAUUAGGAUCCAUUUGUGCUUUGAGACUUCAUUCAUGUGAAAAGCACUCUUAUUCAAGUCUUUAAACAAAACAUCCACCAAAGGUGAGUUCAUACCCCUAUAAUAUACAUUUUAAAUGAUUUUAAAUGCUUUUUGGGGGGGGGGGGGGAAUACAAGUUGAACACAAUCAAAUUGUGUUAAAUAAUCUAUUUGUGAUGCAAAUCACACCGAAAAGACUUUAGUUAUGUUUUAAAGAUUAUGAUAAUAACAGUAGGUUUCCAAACGUCUCCAAAUGACCUUAAUUCAUGCAACUCUUUAAGAGUUACGUUAAAACCCUUCUUAAAAUGUUAGAUACAACUUUGAGAUGUCUUUUAAAUUUCUCAAAACUUUAGUUUAUUAAAUCAUGUUCGUAUAGUUAUUUAUGUAUAAGUAAGCUUUAACUGACUUAGGAUCAUUGCUAUCUCCUUAACUCGUGUUCCUUGUUUGGUUGUGGGCUUAGGGUAGUAUCAAUCAACCAACUAUCAGUUAAACCUUAGUUAUACAUGUUAGAUACAUAUAUGAACGUUAACCGUAUAGCGGUCAAAAAUCAUGUUUUUAUAUAUAUACAAAUAUAUAAAUAAGAGUUAAAGGACUUAGGACUGAUGGGUUGCCUUACCUCCUUUUCCUUGUUUGGAUGUGGAUAUAUGGCGAAGCUAUCUGUCCGAAAGUCGUUUCCUUCUUAAUUAUUUUUAGUUUAUAUAUAGGAACGGAAAAGUUACCUCAAUCCAAUAUAGUCACCUUUACUCCAUGUUAAGCAGAGGGGUACUUUCAUGAAUUAUCAUUCUAAUCAGAUAAAACAUAUAAAUUAUAGUAGUUACAAUUUAUGACACGAAUGAAAUACCUACUUUACUAGAUAAGUUCACCAGGUUUAAAUUCACUUUAUUAAGAAAAGGGAUAACAUUCAAUCCUUACUUAAAACAAAUAAACCAAAAAUGUGAAAUCCUACUUCAGGAUACAACCGUUCAUUUGUUGUAUCCCGUUUUGUAACCAGAGUCUCCUGGAGAGAGAGUGGGCAUCGUGUGUAUAGAUCUAUACAAGACAGACAAUCCCACAUCCCGACUACUAGCUAUAGUCCCAGCCGGCAAGGCCAAGGGGUGACAAAUGUCACAUCUACAGUUUCGACGCCAGAAGGUUGUCAUGUUUUCAGCCGUCAAUCAGCAUGGUUACAACCUUAUCACAUUUUAACCCUAAUUAAUAAUCUUAAUUUACAAGGUUGUCAUUACACCAAUAGUGUAGAUUUAGGGUUUAUAAACUUAUCACGCGGUAAGCCAAAUUAAUAAUCUUAUUAUUAGGGGCGUGAUGGCAUCUGUAGUGCAUGCUAGUGAAUGCUUAAUAAAUACUACUGCAUUAAUCAUUUUCCACAAACAAAGGAACAAUUUUAUGGGGAUUUAAAACUACAAACAAAGGAACGGUUUUAUGGGGAUUAUAACUAAAAACAAAGGAAUGGUUUUAUGGAGAUUUAAAACUACUUUUAAAACUAAAUGUGGAUUUUUUACACCCUAUAAUUUUAUGAGAGAUUAAAAUUAUGUUUAAAUAGGUUAUAAGUACAAUAAUGCUUAAUCAAAACGGUUUUAUGGAGUAAAACUACUUUUCAGUUGUAAAAGCAGGAAGUAUAGGACUUUCUGGAGUAAACUCAGUCAUUUUGUUUAAACUAAACAACCAUAAAUAAAUACUUAUGAACUCACCAGCAUUAAAUGAUGAUCCUCUCUUUCAAAUUAACUUGUAUUCUCAGGAAUCUAGUAGACAGGUUCACUCUAGGAGCUUUUGUGUAGACAGCCUAGUACCGAGCUGCAUCCUUUGUCUCUUUCUUUAUCUUUUGUUGAUUUUAAAUACUUAAUGUUUGAACUUAUGUAAAAACUUAUACAUUCUUAAUGCAAUGAUUGUUGUAAUUUGCUUACUAUACUACAUGUGUUGUGAUACUUGACAUCAAAUCUUACACCCCCGAAUGUGGAGCAGGGUUGUCUGAUGAUGUUUUUGUUGGUUGCUUCCUGUUAAUGUCAUCAACUAUAGUGGUUUGUUUGUUACCUAAAUGUUUUUCUAGUCUAUUUAACUUCUAGGUUGUUAUAGUGAGUGAGAUUAUUAUAUUUGCUUUUUCCUUCUAUACAGGUGGUGAAAUUUUUAGUUAAGAAAAACAGUAAUAAUGCUCUUAAUGGUCAGGUCACUAUAGGGACGCUCAUUUUUCAGGUAAUUAUUUUACAUAUUCAGAAACAAAGAAAUGCUUAUGACCUAUUUUAUAUUUUUUUUUAAUCUUGUUUUGGUAUUUGACAAGAUUGUGCUGUUGGCUUACUGUCUGCCUUACUGGCAAUUUUGGGUGGCAAACAGUCAAUAGGCCUUGGUUGUUUUCCUCGCCUCAAAUCAUCCACACUUCUCGCAAAUUCAUGGGUCAGAUUUAUAUUCCAGUUAUGAACUGGUUUCUCUGCUGCCCUUCUUCUUGUCACUUUCAUUGCAAGCACUGAUGAGAUUGGAACUGCAUAUAGUAUAUUUAUCUUCAAAAAAUUUCACACUUCUCUUUAAUAUAUAAAUAAUUUCACUUUCUAUAAAUAAAUAAUACAAGAGUUGCUGAGGUCGGAGUGAUGAUGAUGACCACCGUCUUAGUAAUCCUUGUUAUGCUUCUCAUAUGGCAGAUCAACAUCAUUCUGGUGAUGUCCUUUGCUGUCAUUUUUGUUGGCUUGGAGUUCAUAUCCUUGUCAUAUGUUUUAUGGGGCAUCAGAGAUGGUAGCAAGCUGAAACACAAAACAGAAGUGAAGAAAAAAUGUCAAUGGAUGUAAUGUGUGAGUUGGGAAGUAAUCUUGGAACUGUGGGGUUUUGCAGGGGAUGACCUCAAUGGGAAAUGUGUAAGUCUUCCAUUUUGUAUUAUUAUUAUUAUUAUUAUUAUUAUUAUUAUUAUUAUUAUUAUUAAUGGUGUAUGUAGUAAAAAAACAUUUCACUUUUUACCUCAGGUUGAUGACAUUGUCAACAAAUCUGUUUAGUGCAUCUCUUUUAACAUGGUCAUUCGUGCCAUGCUUCCUGAAUCUGAUGGUGCAACUGUCAUCUCAAGUAAGUUGUUAUACCUAUUUUCAAUUUUCUUUUUAAUUAUUAAGUUAACUAAAGUUUUUUUUCUUAAUUCCUUUUAUUUAUUUUUAUGAUUCAAACAAAUGAACUCUACCAGUUAGAUGUAGUUGCUUUUUGCUUAUUAUCUGCUUGGGUAGGUUAAAUAAAAUGAUCUCAUCAUAUUACCAUUUUUUUUGGUCAUUAUUAAAAAAAUGUAUUUUAAUCACUUUCAGUGUAGAGAUAAAUUAGGGCUAAGUCUUGAGUUGGGGUCUUUUAUGGCUGGUGUUAUGAUUUCCACAAUUGAUUUUGCACUAUAAUAAUGAGUAAUGACACACAUACACAUAUUUUUUUGCAGGUGGAGCCAAUUCGAAACUUAUUUGCAACUAUAUUUCUAUCAAGUAUUGGGAUGCUUAUACAUGUACAGUUCUUGUGGACACAUGUGGAUAUAUUACUAGCAUCUGUUAUUCUGGUUAUAGUUGUUAAGACUACAAUUUCUGCAGUCAUGAGAAAGGCCUUUGGAUAUUGUGUUAAGACAUCAUGUCUUGUAAGCUUCAUUAGACCACUUAACCUCAAAUCGAAGCCAAGUUCAUAACCUUUUACCAGGUUCGAUUUUUAUUUAUUUAUUUAUUUAUAUUUUAUAGUUUUAGCCCUAAAUAGAUUAAGCCCCAUCGCAUCAGCCAUGAGACAUUUCUCGUCUACAACCAAAGAUGUAAUAUGGAUUCUUAUGAUUUAACAUAUCAAUCAUAUUGAAUCAAAAGGGGAUUUAAACACUAGUAGAUCUUUGCAUAGUGCUAAAAUAAGGUUUUAGAGAAACUGGUAUAUAUUACUUUAACUUCAUGUUUUUGCAGAUGACAGUAAAAGAUGCUUUGAACUUUGCUCUUGUUGAGGAAAUGGCUGCUGGUUCUAGUAUCUUUAUCAUGGGUGAAGAGGUAACUAGCUAGUACUAUGUUUAUCAUUAUAUAUCUAGAGAGUCUUUUGCUAUAAGCCUCAUCUUUUUGUGACGUGCAGGUUGGAGAAUACCAGGGUGCAUAGAAGGUUAGAAUUUCAAAAUCAUUCCACUUGAUCUAUCAAGUUUGUGUGUGUUUUGGUCUUAAAUAUUGGAUUUUUUUAUGCUUAGAUAGAUUACAAAAAGAUUGUUACAUAAGUAUGGACCUGACAGGGUUGUUGACACCCCUAUCACAGAUGUUAAAUAAUUAGUUCUUCCCUCAUAUAUUUGGGUCCUUACAAGAUGCAUCUGAUGAUGUGAAGGUAUAUUAAGAUCAUAAGAUCAUAAAUUUCUUUUCUAAUAUUUUUCAAGAAAUGUCAACAACAUGCAGGAGAAAUCAUACUAAGCAUUGGCUCCAUUGUUAAUGAAAGCUAUUGGAUGGCAAGGAGGAAGUAUACUAUCCCUUGAGACACUAAAACGUGUUGUGGUUGCACAAGGUCUUAGGUCAGUAAUCAUAUAUGUCGUGUAUCUAAUAUCCAAUCGUCACCAUCGAUCCAAGUAGACCUCAAUCUAGAUCAAGGUCACCGAGGGUUGUUAGUUUUAUAGGAAUGUAUAACCUAUGUUAGCAAUCUAUAAUUUUUGUUUAACAUUUAAAUGACACACAUUUUUGCUUAUUUGUUUAUAUUUCUUGUAUCUAAUUAGUUUGUAAAUUUUUGUUACAACUAUUGAUUUGUUUUAUCUUUCCAUGGAACGAUUAUUUGUAUAACAUUAAAUUUUAUGCAAUGGAUUGUAUUUUUGUAUAUGAUAUUUUAUUUUCUAUUAUGAGACAUUAAAUACAAGUUUAAUCUGAAAAUUAGUAAAUCUAUAAAUAAUAUAUUUUUUAAACAUUUAUAAGUAUGAUACGCAAAAAUGUGUGUCAUCUUCAUUUAUGACAUGGCCUUUCUUGACAGGGGUGUUCUUGAUACGCAUUUCGUGUCAUUAACACGCGCGUCAUAAGGUUACGACAUGCGAAUGCGUGUCGUCUUCCUUUAUGACAAGGCCUUUCUUGAUACGCAUUGCGUGUUGUAAACGAGUGUCGUAAUUGCGCGUCGUAAAUGAGCGUCGUAAAUGCGCGUCGUCUGUCUUUAUGACAGGGCCUUCCUUGACGCGCAUUUGCACGUCGUCUGAGCCUUUUACGACGCGCAAUGAGCGUUGUAAAAGGCUGUUUUUCUAGUAGUGUAGCUAUUGUUGUAGGAGAACUUGACUAUUUGUAAAUGGGUAUCCCAUGCCUUACCAAAAUCGAUCACACAAGCCCUUAGCAUAUCUUCCAAAGUUUGAAUGGUCUUCUCACUCUGACCGUCGGUUUGUGCAUGGUAAGCGGUACUCAUUUCUAGUCUCAUCCCUAGAGAUUAUUUUAGUGACUGCCAGAACCGUGAGGUGAAUCUACUAUCUAUGUCGGAGAUAAUGGAUAUUGGUAAACCAUGCUGUUGCACAAUCUCUCUGAUGUACGUUUGAGCUAGUUUCUCCAACUUGUAAGUUUCCUUUAUUGGUAGGAAGUGCGCCGAUUUGGUUAAUCUGUCGACGAUCACCCAAAUGGUGUCAAGUCCGCCCGCUGUUUUGGGUAACUUGGUUAUGAAAUCCAUGGUUAUCCGCUCUCACAUCCACUCGGGUAUUUCAGGUUGUUGUAACAAUCCCGAGGGCUUCUGGUACUCUACUUUGACUUUGGCGCAAGUCAGACACUUGCCUACAUAGGCAACAAUUUCAGAUUUCAUGUUAGGCCACCAAUAUAAUUUCUUGAGGUCUAGAUACAUCUUGUCUGAACCGGGAUGCACGGAGUAUCGACUCUUAUGAACCUCAUUCAUGAAAACGUCUCUGAAACCACCAAGCUUCGGUGUCCAGAUUCGAUUCAUGAAGUAACGAACUCCGUCCCCCUUGGCAUCAAGAUUCUUUUGCAUUCCUCUUAAGGCUUCGCCAGCCACGUUUUCUAUUUUCAAGGCUUCCUUUAGAGCUUCCUUGAUUUACGUGGAUAUGUGUGAAUGGAUAUUCAUGGUUAAAGACUUCACUCGGCGGCCCGAGUAUUCCUUUCGACUAAGAGCAUCAACUACUACAUUAGCUUUUCCUGCAUGAUAACGAAUUUUACAUUCGUAAUCGCUCAGUAGUUUAACCCAUCGUCUCUGUCUCAUGUUGAGUUCUUUUUGUAACAUCCCAAACUUCAGAAAUAUUAUUUAAGGGCUUAAAGUGUAAAUUGUGGAAGCUACUCGAAGAGUGGAUGCGAUUACUCGUCGAGUCGGAGCGGUUUCUCGUCGCGAGUUAAGUGACCAACUCGCUGAGUCGGCUGCUGGACUCGACGAGUUGGUGCUGGGAAGAGAAAACCCCAAUCUUAGGGUUUGCACCCUAUUUAAAGGACCUUAAGUCCUCACCUCAGCCUCUUUGUUACCCCUUGAGAGUAAAAAAAACCCUAAAAUCGUGUGUGAGCCUUUGGAGUGAGCUUGGAAGCUUUGGAAGGAGAUUCUAGCAAAAAAAAGCUUGUAGAUCAAGUGUAUAGCAUCAAGGGACUCGUAUAGAUCCAGAAUCUACUUCAGUUUGGGCACAUUUUUGAGGUAACAAGUUGUUACCUUGAUCCCUUUCUUUCUAGAUCAACUGAUGGACGAAUUUGGGGCCAUUUUAGUAUGUUUAAGAUCCAUUUAGGAUUAUGGGUCUAGAUCUGAGGUUGCAACUUCAGAUCUAGACUUGCCUUGGUCCAGGAAAUUAAAUCAUAAAGCAUCAGCCCUUGGUUUGGUUGUGAAGCAUUCUUGCCUUAAACUGUAUCCCUAACUUGUUUUGGGCUAAUAGCACCUUGUACUCACGUAAAGUUGGUAACAUUACGUGAGAGUCAUGCUCUAGGAGGAUGGAUCUACAGUAUGGAGCCUUUGCAUGGAUCAAAAAGUGACUAUAUGGAUGAAGGACUGAAGAGACUCAGUGAGUCUCAUGGGUUGCCUCGGCGAGUCAUAUGAUGAUGGGCAUGGACUCGACGAGUUGGAUGAACAAAUCGGCGAGUUUGAUGAAGGUUGUCAUGGACUAGGUGAGUCUGUUCUUGGACUCUGCGAGUUAUAGCGCAGAACCCCCCAACCCCUUCUGGUUAAGACUCAGAUCAGUGAGUUGAGUGGUGACUCAGUGAGUUGGACAUGAUAGGACUCGGAGAUUGAUGGACUCGAUGAGUCAUGGGGUGACUCGGCAAGUCAAGUCGUGAUAUGAGAGUCUUCUGAGUUUAAGAACUCGGAGAGUAGGGUCAAUCAGGAAGGUUGACUUUGGCCAGGACUCUGACUUUUACCCGUUUGACCUUCAAGGGUAUUAUGGUAAUUUAAAUAUUUAUGUCAAUGGACCAGUGCUGGCUAUAGGUGUUGGAGUCUGGGGCAGUGCUUCGGGAUUGUGCUUUCGUGGUUCGGUUCGGCAGUUGCAAGGUGAGUUAUCCUCACUAUACCCAAGGGUCUAAGUCACCAAGGCCAGCCCUUUGAUUGUUAUUUGAGAUAGUUACUACUGUGAUAUGUUAGUUGGCAUUCUGGUAGAAAGGAUGAUUAUGUGUUAGCAUCGUUGGUUAGAUCGGUAUCCUGGUAGAUUGGAUGUGGCUAUGCUUAGUGACCUGUAGUUGGUAUGACUGUCUGUAUGCUGGUUGGAGAUUACCUGUUAUAUGUGCGCAUGUUUGAGCAGUAGUAGAGGGUAUUCCAUCCCGUUAGGAUGAUAGGCCCUAGUAUGUUGUUUCUGCAGACUAUUAUGUGAUUAUCUGAUAGGUGCACAUGUUUGUUAGUAGGUAGUGCAUUCCAACCCGAUGGUUGUGGGCCAGGAGUAUUCCAUCCCGGUAGGAUGAUUGGACUCAUAGUAGGUUGGCAUUCUAACCCGAUGGUUGAGGGCCUGGGUUAUUCCAUCAUGAGGGAUGAUUAGACCUAUAGUAGUUGUUGUUUUAUGUGUACGUGUUUGGGCAUUCCAACCCGAUGGUUGUGGGCCAGGAGUAUUCCAUCCCGGUAGGAUGAUUGGACUCAUAGUAGGUUGGCAUUCUAACCCGAUGGUUGAGGGCCUGGGUUAUUCCAUCAUGAGGGAUGAUUAGACCUAUAGUAGUUGUUGUUUUAUGUGUACGUGUUUGGGCAUUCCAACCCGAUGGUUGUGGGCCGAGAGUAUUCCAUCCUGGUAGGAUGAUUGGACUCAUAGUAUGUUGGCAUUCCAACCUGAAGGUUGAGGGCCAGGGGUAUUCCAACCGGAUGGUUCAUUGGGCCCAUAGUAUGCUAUUCAUUGUUGUAUGUGUAUGGUUAUAUAUGUAUGGGUAUUUUGGGGGAACUCACUAAGCUUUCAGGCUUACAGUUUCAUUUUAUUGUUUCAGGUACAUCAGGAGAUCGUGGCAAGGCAAAGGCGUGAUUGUACCGCUCCUCAUAUUCCAUGAUGUUGUGAUUUGGUUCUGUGGAUACUCUGAUGUUUAAACUAUUUUUAAAACAAGUUGUAAUAACUUAAUGGUUUCUAGAAUGGAUUAAAAUGUUUUAAAUUGGCUUGAAUUUUUUGGGUGUUACAAGUUGGUAUCAGAGCCUUGGUUUGAGUGAAUUGGAGGAACAUUCGUGUUUAUCCAGUCUCAAAUCAAUGAAAGAUUUUCAAAUGUUUUUCAAAAUAAGUAAAGGAGGAUGUAGAGGGUACGAUCAACUGGAGCUAGUAAGUAGACCCCAAAAUACCAUACAAGUUAUUUGAUUAUGUGUUAUGAUUAGAAAAGCAUGCUAGUACUAGGCUAGGGUUUCCUUUGUAUGAAAUUGACAUCAUUACUAUAGAUAUUUAGUGUAUGCAUCGCGGUUGUGCAUAAUUUAGAUCUUAUAGCCUGAGAAUGUUUGAUUUGACCUUAGGGUAGGAUUGGAUAUUCGAAAGUCUAUAGGGUUCCGCAUUAUGUAUGACUAGCAUACUCUAGUGCAACACGGUUGAUGGAAGUUUCAUGGAUGGGUGGGUAGUGAGAGGCCGGGAGGCCAGUUAUGAGAUAUUUAGGAUUCCACUAAGGAUGAGGAUUGUGCGCUCGUUAUGUAUGUAUAUGUUGUUAGGGUGUUGUGAUGAUACUUGAGACAAAUAUGGGUAGGUGUGGAAGGUAGUAUAGGCCCGUACUACAGACAACACAGGACGCAUACGUGUAUCAAGGAAGUCACAACCCCUAGGGUUUUGGUUGGGAGAUAGUUUCAGGCUAUUUUGAGGAAUGUAUAAUCUCCUUCUUGAUGGAUUUCAGUAUGGUGGUUACGAGCCGCAUUGGAACAGAAUCCAGUUCAGGAUCAGGAUCAGGAGAGGGUGGUCAGGAUGGAUCAGCACCACCCGUGGUCAUUGGUCAGAUGAGGACGGAUGAGUUGGAUGCUAGGAUUCGUGAGAUCCUGCAUGAUGAGGUUGCUGCUAUGUUUCGGGCUCAGUUACCGGAAAUGCUUGGGCCGAUCAAGACCGCCAUGGUUGAGUACUUUGAUGAGCGCUAUACAGCUCUUGCAGAGAUGACUGCCGCGACAAGGGGAGGAGCCGGUCGGGGAUUUUAGUAUCGGGACUUCGAUAAUACGAAGCCCCCUUCCUUUAACGGAGUUCAGGAUCCGAUUGUUGCGAUGAGAUGGUUGUCGGACGUGGAGGGAUGUUUCUUCACGUGUUCAUGCCCGGCUGAUCAUAGGGUGAGGUGUGCUCUGAACCUACUAAGGCUCGGGGCAAAGGAUUGGUGGAGAUUGACUACAAGAUCAUAUUCUAACGCGUAGCAGGAUGCGGUUACUUGAGAUCAGUUCCGAGACAUGUUCAGUACCCGUUAUGUUCAGCGGGUUGAGUGGGAGAGGUUGGCUUAGGAGUUUUUGGAGCUGAAACAGGAUUCUGAGUCGGUGACGGAUAUCACCAAAAUAUUUAUAAAGAGAGCGAUGUUUUUCCCUGAGUUUGCUUCGGAGCAGGCUCAGAUGACCCGGUACCUAAGCAUGCUCAAGACGGAUAUCAGACAGUUCGUAUCUACGCAAAGACGUAGUACCUUGUUGGAGUUGUAGCAGGCCGCCAGGCGGCGCGAGUUAGAGAUUGAGCUCCAGCUGAGGGAGCAGAGGCAGGCCCCGGUGCAGUCGCAGCCUGUGCCGAAACGGAUGAGGGAUGCUAAUUAUCGUCAGGGAAGUUAGAGGAGUCGCACUUGUGGGAAGUGUGGUAAGGUACAUGGUGGAGUUUGUGGGUCUUCUUUUGGGUGCCACUAGUUUGGCAAGGAGGGCCACAUAGCCAGGGAUUGUACGCAGCAGGCUCCAGCUGCCCGGAGUCCGACUUUGUUAUCAUUGUGAUCAGGUGGGCCAUAUGAAGGCCCAGUGUCCCCUUUUGGCUGCCAGGCCAGUGCAGGCCCAAGCACCAGCCACAUUGAGACUUACUGACGGGGGUCAUGGUAGAGCAGAGCCUCCAAAGGCUCCAGGGCGUGCAUAUCUGCUCAUGGUCAUGGAGACCGGGACAACGCCAGAGGGGAUAGCCAGUAUGUCUUUUUCCUAUCUUCUGUUCAUGUUGGUAUUAUGAGUUCCUUUUAUUUUCCUGCAUGAGUUAUUAGGGCAUAGGAGAUGCUAGUGAGAUUUGAUUGUUACGGGUUUCUAGAGGGAUAAUAUCCAGUGGUGCAUUCAAGCGAAAAAGAGGUUAUGAUUCAGGGAAUCAGAAUCAUCAGCGGAAAUUCGGAUUCCUUAAAGUUUGUUGUCCUAGAUUGGGAUGAUUAAGUAGCAUACCUGCAUCACCACCGAUAGACAGUAGUUAGUGCUCUAAGUGGGGGAGAAUUGGAAAUUCUCGAAUGGGACAUUGUUUUGAAAUAUGUUGCCUGAAGUUGUUUGGAUGUCGGUACUGGAGUGGUGCAAUAAGGUGUACCCGUUAUGUUACAGACCUUGUAAGUAUUGUGGAUCUAUGAACAAGCAUUGAGUAUACUGCUCUACUAUAGAAAACAGUGGGAUUAUCCCAUGUGUCAAAAAUGUUGAGAGUUAUACGGAAGACUCUUUAUGGAUUGAUAGUUAUGCGAUCAGUUUCGACAUAUAUAUAUAUACGUGGUAUAGGAUAGCGACGUGUUCCAAGUGGAUGAUGUAGGAUAAGGUUAUGACACUGCGACACUGAUUGAGGUUGUGAGGUCAUGGUUUAAGCAUCCUCGGAGGUAGGGAAAGUGAGUAUCUCCAGGAAGGAGAUUUAGACAGUAGAAUUGGGAGUAACGGGGUUGAUAGACUCGGUAGCAAUCUAGACCUGUGCUGAGAACCAUGUGAGGGUAUUCCAAUCAUAGGUCGUGGGCAUAUAGAUCGUGAUGGAUAUGUUUCUAUCGUGUCAGUGUUGGAGUAGACGUAUUAUUGAGGUUGGACAAGUCGUACCCGGUUAUGUCGAAUCGGAGAAGUUUGAGGGAGCUGCAAGGUUAGAUCCUUGGGUUCCAGGUAUGGUUGUAGGCUUGGGUUAUGUAAGUAGUGGUAUUCCAAUCUAGGGUAUUCCAUCACGAGGAUGGCCGGACCCUAUGAUUGAUUGGACCUGGUGUGUUUGGUAUUCCUACCCAAGGGUUGAUUGGGCCAAACAUGUGUGAGAAUGCGAGGGUAUACCAUCCUUGGGAUGACUGGACCCGUUAUAGGCGUACUUGGUAUUCCAGCCCAAGGCUGAUUGGGCCAGGUACGAAUGGUUAUGUGAUAUAGCUGGUUAAUUCAUGUGAGUUACUAGAAGCUGAAGGAUGCAUCAUCCUAUCAGCGCAAAAAGGGAAUAGAUUCAGGGAGGGGAUAUGAUGAGUUCCAAUAUUGUGAGUUACUCGGGUUAUCGCCAGUUUUGGAAAGGGAAGGAUAGUUUGGCACUAUGAGAGGACCCAUUGAGUUAUGGUGGUAUCUAACUUUCGCAAGUCAUGCAAGUGUGUUCAUGACAGGAAGGUGACAGUAUCAUCGGGUGAUAUUUGGUUGAGGUGUGUUGUCAUUAAGUAAAAAAAGCCGAUGUUCGUCUUGGAGUAUUGGCAGGAUACUGCACAGGAAGAAGUUGAUUUAAAGGGGGUACGGUAGUAGCGUCUAGAAGGACAUGAGUUGAUUCAGAAAUCGGAGUUUGCAGUGUAGGGGUGUUAUCCAAAAUCGUGUGCUACAGUUGGAUUUGAAGACGAAGCCUAAUUUAAUUGGGGGAGAGUUGUAACAUCCCAAACUUCAAAAAUAUGAUUUAAGGGAUUAAAGUGUAAAUUAUGGAAGCUACUCAACGAGUAGUUGGGAUUACUCGUCGGAUCGGAGCGGGUUUUGGUCGCGAGUUAAGUGACCAACUCCCGAGUCGGCAGCUGGACUCGACAAGUUGGUGUUGGGAAGAGAAAACCCUAAUCUUAGGGUUUUCACCCUAUAUAAAGCACCUUAAGUCCUCACCUUAGCCUCCUUGUUACCCCUUGAGAGUCAGAAAACCCUAAAAUCGUGUGUGAGCCUUUGGAGUAAGCUUGGAAGCUUUGGAAGGAGAUUCUAGCAAAGGAGGCUUGUAGAUCAAGUGUAUAGCAUCAAGGGACUCAUAUAGAUCUAGAAUCUACUUCAUUUUGGGCACAUUUUUUGAGGUAACAAGUUGUUACCUUGAUCCCUUCUUUUCUAGAUCAACUUAUGGAUGGAUUUGGGGCCAUUUUAGUAUGUUUAAGAUCUAUUUCGGAUUAUGGGUCUAGAUAUGAGGUUGCAACUUCAGAUCUAGACUUGCCUUGGUCCAAGAAAUCAUAAAGCAUCAUCCCUUGGUUUGGUUGUGAAGCAUUCCUACCUUAAACCCUAGCCUUAGCUUGUUUUGGGCUAAUAGCACCUUGUACUCACGUAAAGUUGGCAGCUUUACGUGAGAGUCAUGCCCUAGGAGGAUGGAUCUAUAGUAUGGAGCCUCUGCAUGGCUCAAAAAGUGACUAUAUGGAUGAAGGACUGAAGAGACUCGAAGAGUCUCAUGGGUUGACUCGGCGAGUCAUAUGAUGAUAGGCAUGCACUCGAUGAGUUGGAUGAACAAAUCGGCGAGUCUGAUGAAGGUUGUCGUGGACUCGGCGAGUCUGUUCUUGGACUCUGUGAGUUAUAGCGUAGAACCCCCUAACCUCUUCUCGUUAAGACUUGGAUCAGUGAGUUGAGUGGUGACUCAGUGAGUUGGACAUGAUAGGACUCGGAGAUUGAUGGACUCGAUGAGUCAUGGGGCGACUCGGCGAGUCGAGUCGUGAUAUGAGAGUCUUCUGAGUUUAAGAACUCGAUGAGUCAAUGGGUUGACUCGUCGAGUAGGGUCAAUUAGGAAGGUUGACUUUGGCCAGGACUUUGUCUUUGACCCGUUUGACCAUCAAGCGUAUUAUGGUAAUUUGGAUAUUUAUGUAAAUGGACCAUUGCUGGCUAUAGGUGUUGGAGUCUGGGGAAGUGCUUCGGGAUUAUGCUUUCGUGGUUCUGUUCGGUAGUAGCAAGGUGAGUUAUCCUCACUAUACCCAAGGGUCUAAGGCACCAAGGCCGACCCUUUGAUUGUUAUUUGAGAUAGUUACUGCUGUGAUAUGUUAGUUGGCAUUCUGGUAGAAAUGAUGAUUAUGUGUUAGCAUUGUUGGUUUGAUCGGUAUCCUGGUAGAUUGGAUGUGGCUAUGCUUAGUGACCUGUAGUUGGUCUGACUGUCUGUAUGCUAGUAGAAAAUUACAUGUUAUAUGUGCGCAUGUUUGAGUAGUAGUAGAGGGUAUUCCAUCCCGGUAGGAUGACAGAUCCCUAGUAUGUUGUUUCUGUAGACUGUUAUGUGAUUAUCUAAUAGGUGCACAUGUUUGUUAGUAGGUAGGGCAUUCCAACCCGAUGGUUGUGGGCCAGGAGUAUUCCAUCCCGGUAGGAUGAUUGGACUCCUCGUAGGUAGGGCAUUCCAACCCGAUGGUAGUGGGCCAGGAGUAUUCCAUCCCGAUAGGAUGAUUGGACUGAUAGUAGGUAGGGCAUUCCAACCCGAUGGUUGUGGGCCAGGAGUAUUCCAUCCCGGUAGGAUGAUUGGACUCAUAGUAGGUUGGCAUUUCAACCCGAUGGUUGAGGGCCUAGGGUAUUCCAUCUUGAGGGAUGAUUAGACCCAUAGUAGUUGUUGUUGUAUGUAUACGUGUUUGGGCAUUCCAACCCGAUGGUCGUAGGCCGAGAGUAUUCCAUCCUGGUUGGAUGAUUGGACUCUUAGUAUGUUGGCAUUCCAACCCAAAGGUUGAGGACCAGGGGUAUUCCAACCGGAUGGUUGAUUGGGCCCAUAGUAUGUUGUUCAUUGUUGUAUGUGUAGGGUUAUGUGUGUAUGAGUAUUUUGGGGGAACUCACUAAGUUUUUGGGCUUACAGUUUCAGUUUAUUGUUUCAGGUACAUUAGGAGAUUGUGGAAAGGCAAAGGCGUGAUCGUACCGCUCCUCAUAUUUCAUGAUGUUGUGAUUUGGUUAUGGGGAUACUCUGAUGUUUAAACUAUUUUGAAAACAAGUUGUAAUGACUUAAUGGUUUUUGGAAUGGAUUAAAAUGUUUUAAAUUGGAUUGAAUUUUUCGGGUGUUACACUUUUUGGUUGAGAAUGUGCUGAAGGCUCUUGUGAUCGGUGAAGAUUAUGCAUUUCGUGUUGUAGAGAUAGUGCCUCCAGAUCUUUAGGGAGAAAACAACUACGUACUCCUAGUUCUAGGUUGUGGGUAGUGUAGUUGACUUCGUGCGUCUUGAGUUGUCUUGAGGCGUAUGUGAUGACAUUUCCUCGUUGUAUUAGAACACAUCACAAAACUUGGUUUGAUGCGUCGCAAUAGACGACAACGUCUUCUGUUCCUUCUAGCAGGGAUAAUAUAGGUGUGCUACAUUGGGCUUGUUUUAGUGUUUGGAAUGCAGCGUCUUGCUUUUCUCCCCAAUUGUAGGUUACGUCCUUCUGGCUCAGGGCAGUAGGUGGUUUGGAAAUCUUUGAGAAGUUUUGUAUGAAUCUUCGCUAAAAGCCUGCCAGGCCCAAGAAUUGUCGGAUUUCCAUUAGAGUUCUUGGAGUUGUCCAGUUCUCGAUUGCCUUGAUUUUGCAAAGGUCCACAUGUAUCCCUUCCUUGCUCACAAAAUGACCAAGGAAAUCUACUUUCUGAAUCCAAAAUCCGCACUUUGAGAAUUUUGCGUACAACUUUUAUGCCCUUAAUGUUUCCAAGACCUGCCAGAGGUGUUGACUACGCUCUUCUUCACCCUUUGAAUAGAUGAGUAUAUCAUCUAUGAACACAAUCACAAAUUUGUCUAGGAAAGAACGACAUACUCGGUUCACUAAGUCCAUGAACACCGCCAGUGCAUUUGUUAAUCCAAAGGGCAUCAUUACAAACUCGUAGUGACCAUAAUGAGUUCUGAAGGCCGUCUUGGGGACAUCUCCUUCCAGGACUCACAGCCAAUGAUACCCGGAUCUCAAAUCGAUCUUUAAGAAAUAGCGUGCUCCUUGGAUUUGAUGGAACAGAUCAUCUAUGCGUGGUAGAGGAUAUCGGUUCUUGAUUGUGAGCUUGUUUAGUUCUCGGUAGUCAAUGCACUUGCGAAAGAAUCCAUCCUUCUUCUUUACGAAUAUGAAUGGUGCUCCCCAAGGUGAGAAGCUCGGCCUGAUGAAUCCUUUAUUAAGUAGCUCGUUUAGUUGGCUGGAUAAUUCCUACAUCUCUGUCGAGGUUAGAAGGUACAACGAUUUUGCUACUGGGGUAGCUUCGGGAAUCAAGUCGAUUCUGAACUCGACUUGACGUUCUGGUGGAACUCUUGGAAGAUCCUCAGGAAAGACGUCUAGGAAAUCGUGGACAUCUGGAAUGUCCUUGAUAUCUUUCGUUACUUUUUCCUUAUCUACCACAUGGGCUAGGAAAGCAUGGUAUUCCUUGCACAGGUGUUUUUGGGCUUUGAUGCAAGAGAUGAUUUGUAAAUUUGUACCGGUUUUAUCACCAUAAAUGAUAAGAGUUUCGCCAUUUGGCAGAUUAAGGUGAACGACCCUUUUGUGACAAAGUAUAUCGGUAUGGUGAAGGCUUAACCAAUCCAUACCGAUGAUGACAUCAAAGCUUCUUAUAGUGAUCGACAUUAGAUCGAUUUGGAAUGAGUGUUCAUUUAAAUCUAGCUUGUAGCCUAUAUACAUAUCGUUUGUGCUUUCGGUUUUACCGUUUCCCAUUUCUAUUGUUAAUAUCUUAUUAAGUGAUUGGGGGUUUUGCUUAAGUAAGUGUUUGAAUUUAUGGCUCACGAAACUCCUUUCCGCACCACAAUAAAAAAGAAUGCAUGCAUAAGCGCUAUUGAGGAGAAACGUACCUGUAACCACCAUGGGAUCAGCUAUUGCUUCGUUCUGCCCUAUUGCCAGCACUCUUCCUACACUGCCAGCAUUCCUUGACUUAGGGCAAUCUCUCUUUUAGUGCCUAGCUUCGCCACACCCAUAACACGCCUGGCCCACACCGACUCCAGGCUACACUGCCAGCAUUCCUUGACUUGGGUGAUUGGUUGUGCUGGUGCCUUACAGAAACUGGCAGUGUGCCCCUUCCUAUUGUAGUUAUUAUAGUGCAUUACCCUACAAUUUCCGUUGUGAUGGUAAUUUCAUUUGCUGCACUUCGGUAGGUUUCCAGCAUAUUGCUUUGCUGGUGUAGGGGCAACAGGAAGAAUGGUGGGAGCAGUAGCGGCAUGAACUGUAACUAGCUGUUGUUUCUUGGAAGGUUCAUGCGAAAGUUGACCCUUCCUUUUGUUCCAAAACUUCUUCUUCAUGUUGUUGUUGUUGUUGUUGUUGUUGUUGCUCUCUCUGGUUUGCUUCAGAAUUGUAGUCAUGAAUCCUUGGCAGACACCAUGGUCAACGAGGGACUGUGCCAGCUGUUUGGCACUAUCGAAAGUAACUGGCUUGGAGGCUAGUACACUUCCUUGAAUCUGGGGUGACAGUCCCCAGAUAUAUCUCUCGAUCUUCUUGCUCUCUAGAGCAACCAUUCUCGGGCAAAGUAUUUCUAAGUCACUGAACCUAUUGGUAUAGGUUGUGAUGUCCGAGCCUACCAUUGUAAGGCCCCAACGCUCUUGUUCGAGCUUCUGCACUUCGCCUCUUGGGCAGUACUGUUGCAUGAGCAUUUGUUUAUGGUUUUCCUAUCCCAUGGAGUUAGCCACUACCAGAGUUAGUGAUGUGGCGUGGCCAUUCCACCACGUUAGGGCUCGUUCGGAGAAAGUACAUGCAUCAAAUUUUACUUUGCUCCCUUCUUGGCAUGAGCAAAUUUCAAAUAUUGCUUCUGUUUUCUCUAUCCAUUAGGAGAGAGCCAUAAAUCCUCCGGUCCCAUUAAAGGAUAUGGGUUUGCUGUUGGUGAAUUCCUUGUAAGUGUAUUCCCCGGAACGACCCUGAUGUUGACGAUUGGUAGAGCUAUUUAUUCCUCCUCCUGACCCAUUGUUACUCAUUUGUGCCAUUGCUGCUAUGAUAGCAUCUAUUAUGACAGCCUGAAAAAUAGCAUUGUCCAUUGAUGGGGGUGGUCGUGGAGGUAGUGUUAGUGUUCCUGUAGUAUUGAAGCAUCGGGGAUUCCUUCUUGGUGGCAUGAUUCUGCCAUAAGUUAAAAGACGAAUUCGUGAUAAGUCUUCAAAAAUGAUUAUGGAAAGUCUUAGUAUUAUAUGUUUUACGUUCCAGACAUUACCGAAUUUGUAAGUUAAUUGUGAAAUGGAAACUUAUAAUAAUAAGUGUAUCAUUUUUGCUUAGUAUUUUAAGAAUUUAAUGAAAUACCCAAUGAAAUAAUAAACGUGUGUCAGUCUCAUUGAUAUUAAUAUUCGAUACAUCGAUCAGGAAAAUUUGACCUUAGCACAGGUUUAGAGUACAUCAAUGAAAAGGGGAAAAUUUGACCGCAUUUAGACCCCCGAAUUGUGUACUCACAAUCCAUCGGGUUUACAUACAUAAGGAAAUAGUACCACCAACGCUCACUCGAUAAAUAUAUACAUAGCGCAAGAAGCACACGCUCUACUCUGAGCGGGUGGUACGAUGCGGACCACGGUAUGUUGUUGUGGAAGUUCGAGCUCGAGCUACUUGACAUUCAGCCUCGAUAACGCGCUUCUUUAUUGCAGCUUGGUUUUUCCGGAACUCCCUUACCCCGGCUCUUGCAGCGGUAAUGUCCUUCUGAAGGGAAAAGGUGUGCUAUAUUGUUUGAUCAUGUUCUUCGUCUAGGCGACGGAGACGUACCAUAGUGAUUUGGGCAAUGGCACCAACUUCAAGGAUUUGGUUGGCGUUUAUCCUUGAUUUCUCACCUUGAUUGGGUAUGCGACGAACCAUGAUAGGGAGUGCUCUAUCUGCCGAACUCCCGUUACGGAGGUAAUAAAAGCCUUGUUCCAUGUCGUAAGGUGGACGUUGUCCUUGCUCCGUGCUCCAUCGUUUCAAAUCUACAGCCUAGAGGGGCGCCGAGCCCUGCAAGUCCCGUUGGAGAUUUGGUACUACCUGGGGAGGAUUGUAAACCUCAGGUUCUGAGUCAGUGCCCUCAUCAUCAGCAUCCUCUUCCUCUUCUUCGGGAUCCUCUUCUGGAUCUUCCUCAAUCCGACCUCCAUUGCCCUGGUUUGGGUAGUAGGGAUCCCCGGGGAUAUGAAAUCUUGCCAUUUCUUCUGGUCGAGAAUAAAGAUAAGAAAGUUAUAUAGAGCAUUUGAGUGUAAGGAGAAAAUUUUAUGAUAAGACCUACACCGAGUCCUCCUAUAAUUACCUAGUGUAUACGAAUUACAUACAAUUGAGAUUGAAUGGACCGUUGGAUAAGUAGUUUGACUCCAAGCCCACAUCCAAACAAGGAAAAGAGCUUUAAAAGAGAAAACAUAAAUCUUAAGUCCAUGCAACCUCACUCAUGUGUAACCUUAAAGUAUGCACUUUGCAAUUAUAGCCCUGUCAGUGAAGGCUUUUAGUUUUUUUAAGUUUAAUUUUUAUUUUAUUUGACGAUCCUAGUCCUAACUAAACGUCGGGGUUUACUCAUUUGUUAUAGUUUUUAUUGUGUCAUAAAUACUCCUAUAGCAUUUAAAUUUGAAUUUUUAAUUUUAGUGUUACGUUGGUAAGUUUUGUACUUGCUGCUCACUACGACUAUUUCCCGACAUAUGUUGGUCACAUCUCGGAUAAAUAUAGUUGAUCAUGCUAUAUUCAUCCUAGAUCUGAUUACAUAUUCCGCGGCUUAGUCAUAGUGUCCAACUUGUCUUAAUACUUUAGUAUGGUUCUAACUACGACAUUAAAAUGUUGAAUGCAUGAAUUUGUACAUUUAUGAAAACUACAUUUUAAUUUAAUGAAGUAUGGUAGGCGUGAAAGUGUUUUGUCAGAGAUUUUUAGUCCCUUUGCAUAUAUAGUUUGUAUAUCUUAUGUGGUUGGAUAUACUUAGUUCACUUUAAACAAUUCUCUGAUACCAAUCUAUGACAACCCCAAACCAGAACGACGGAAUCGUUCGAGGGCGGAUGACUUCAUGUAGUAUCAUAACAGUUGAAUAAAUAGUAAAGAAAGCAAAGACAACCAUCAUAAAUAUAAUUUAAAAAGUUACAUUGUUGAUUGUAUAACAUGUUUCAAAAGAAAUUACAUUAUGACGAUAAAAUAAGUUGGAAAUUGACGCCUUAGCGUCCCUUCCCUAAAAGCUGUUGUUACCUGUAUUACUAAAUCCCUGAGAAAUACAAGUAGUUUUGAAAAAGUGUCAACAAUUAAGUUGGUGAGUUUAGGUGUGGGACAUUGGAAGGGACUAGUCUAGCCUUCUGAGAGGACAUUGGAAGGGACUAGUCUAGCCUGGAGAGCCGUUAUUAAUUUGAGAUGACUGCUUAUGUGUCUAGGUGGGGCUAGGUCAUUGUCACGAGGUUCAGGGAAUAACGAGCACGUGAGUUACUAGACAGCAUACAAGGUAAGUCUUCUCACUAUACGUUACCUAGAGUGGUAAUUAUGUGAUCGGAAGGUCUUAUGUGCUAUGAAGAGUAUGUGAUAUAUGUUGAUAGAUGAUAUGUGAUAUGUAUGUGUUAUGAUAUGUUAUGAGUAGUAUGUUAUGGACCAGAAGGUCAUCAUGUUAUGGACCGGAAGGUCAACAGUGUAUGGACCGGAAGGUCAAAAGGGUAUGGACCGGAAGGUCAUUACGUGUAGGACCGGAAGGUCUACCAGGGUUGGGACAGAAGUCCCCUGAGACACAUGGGCCGGAAGGUCCCAUAGAGUUAUGGCCUUGAGUGGCGUAUGUGUUGUAUGUGGUAUUUUGGGGAACUCACUAAGCUUUUAUGCUUACAGUGUUAUGUGUUUCAGGAACUAGCGAGGAUCGCGGGAAGGCACCGACAUGAUCCGUACACACUGGCAGAUGAUGUUAUUCUAUGAUCUUGGGAUAUGUAUUUAUCACGAUGACAUUUGUUGAACAUGAGAUUUGAGAAUGUUGAAUGAGUUUUAUGUUGUUUGAAAAAUGAAAAAAAAUGGUUUUAAAUUUUUACGUCGUUACAAGUUGGUAUCAAAGCCUUGGUUUGAGGGAUUCGGAUGCACCUUCGGGCGUAUCUGAACUCAAACUGAGGAUUUGAGAAAGGUUUUCAUAAAAGAAACAAUUUUUCUAAAAAGAGUAAAAGAUUUUCGAGAAAAGCAUAAUGGAGCAGUGUGUACGAUCAGCCAGCGCCAAAACGGUGAUUUCCCAAAAUACCCUUACAUUAUGUGUUAUGAGAUAUUAUGUGAUAUGCUAUGCAUGCUAGAGUAGGCUAGGUAUUCAUAUCUAGGACUAGAGAUGCCUGAUUGUGAUACCUUAGCCUAGGAGAUUAAUGCUACUAGGAGAUACUUCGACAGUGAGUAAGUAGCGGUAAGGAGCUUACGAGAAGUCUACUGGAAAGUAGUCUAUGUGUGGUAAGCAGUAAAGUACUUGUGAGUUGGGAUCCAAGGAGGAGGACUUGGGGUGAAUACUAAUGCGGUGUGGACGGUAGUAUAGGGCCCGUACUACUAAAAACACCGAACUAGUAAGCAGUCCAAGUAAGAAUCCAUAGGGUACUAAGGAGCAAGUAGGGUUGAGUUAUCGAGCGUGUGUAUGCUUGAGCGAGUCGCUGAUAUUCUAUGUUAUAUUUCAGAGACAUCAUGGUUAGGACACGCCACAUACCAGAGACAAGCGACAUGAGUGACAAGGAGCCUCUUCAGAUGAUCCAAGACGAGGUGGCUGCGGCUAUCCGCACAGAGUUACCGAUGAUGUUUGGGUCUAUCAAGACCACUUUGAUUGAGACGUUUGACGAGAGAUACACAAUGGUUACUGAGGCUACGGUUGUUGCAGCUACUGCAGCUAUAGCAGCUGCUAGACCUCAGGGGGUGACUCGAUGUUGUUCCGGGAGUUCAGGCACACGCAGCCACCGGAGUUUGAUGGGACGCAGGAUCCGAUUGUUGCGAUGAGAUGGGUUUCUGAUAUUGAGGGAUGCUUCUACACCUGUUCGUGUCCAAAGCAUAUGAGGGUUCGAUUUGCACUGAACCAGCUUCGCUUGGGGGCAAAGGACUGGUGGAAGUUCGUGGCGGCAAACUUCACUCUUACAGAGGUUUCAAAGGUGACCUGGGAGAGGUUCACCACCAUGUUCAGAGACGAGUAUGUUCCCCCGGUGGAGAGGGAACGGUUGGCACAGGAGUUUUUGUCCCUUAAGCAGCGGACAUAGUCCGUGACUGUGAUUACACGGAUGUUCCACGAGAGGGUGUUGUUGGGCGAGAAAUGGUGUAAAUUAGCAAAUGAAGUUGGAACCCUCACAUCCUAUUUAUAGGAGGGGAACCUGGCCUCGUACGCUGGGCGUACGUGCGUACGUUGGGCGUACAUCAACGAUGACGCCACCCUCGGAUGCCGGACUUUGGAUGGGAUGGGCUAGAGUUCAUAGGGGAGACGUGGUCAAUAUGAGGCCUUGCAUCGGGUACGCUGGGCGUACCUUCGUACGUUAUAGCGUACCCCCUCGGUUUGUGUGCCUCGAUCUUCUAAAAUGCAUAACUUUCGCAUACAAGCUCCGUUUUUUACGAUCUUUAUAUCCACGCGUAGGUGAGAAUAUAAUCUACAAAUUUCAUUUAGACUUUGUUGGCAAAUUUUGACUUUAUUUUUAAUUAUAUAUUUCUAACAGGUCGGGACUAGAAAAGUCCGUUAAAAAUUCAUAACUUCUUCAUCCGAUGUUCGUUUUCGUCUGUAUUUUUACCGUUGUACUACUAUUGUCGAGAUCUUCAAUUCUCAUUUAGGUCGUCUCGGCUAAAUAUCGCUCGAUCUCUAUUUGAGUUCUUAGUUGUCUACCGCUACUCCGAAACUAAGAAAAAUCAUAACUUCCUCAUACGAAGUAAGAUUUGGACGUUCCUUUUAUGUAUGUUCACGGUUUAAUGAUAUCUACAACAUUCGUUUAGAUACCUAAGGCUAAAAAGUAUUUUAUUGAAAUUUCGCGUUUUGCGCUUUAAUACUGUUUUACCAGUUUUGCUGCGGAUUUUCAAUUGGUGAUAACUUCUUCGUUAAAACUCGGAUUUUUGUGUUUUUUACAUUUUUGAAAAUCUUAUUACGAUAUCUAUUACUUUAUGUAUCCCAAUUGUGUUCUUUACAUUUUCGAAAAUCUUGUUACGAUAUCUAUUACUUUAUGUAUUACAAUACUUGACUUAGGUCAGUACAUUGACUUGAAAUAUCGGGUUGUCACAAAACAUAAGAAUGGCAAUUCAUUAUGAGGACAAAGAAUAUGUACUUGAUAAAGAACUUAAGGAGAUUGAUGAAUCCACUGCUACUCCCAAACAGAUUGUUGAGUACAAAACUCAUGAGAGGGACGCGACCAAAGUGUCGUGUAUAAUGAUAGCUACCAUGACUGCUGAGCUCCAAAAGUCGUAUGAAGAGUUUUGGACUUAUGAAAUGCACCAGAACUUGAUGGAAAGGUACCAUCAAAGUGCUUGGAAGGAGAGGUAUGAGAUCAUUGCCUCCAUAAUCAUGACCAAAAUGAAGGAUGGAGAGUCCAUCACGACCCACUUGCAAAAGAUGCAUAGGUUUGUGGACCGCUUGCUGAAAUUAAAUAUUAACUUCGAUGAAGAGUUGGCCAUAAACAUUAUUAUACACUCUUUGCCUCCUUGUUAUGAUAAGUUUCGUAUGACCUAUCAUAUGAACAAAGAGUAAGUCACUAUAAGCAAACUUCAAGGUCUCUUGAGAACUGCUAAAAGCAAUUUGAAAGGAAAAUUUGUUGUAUCAACUCCUACUUUAGCUGCCCCUGUCUUAGCAACUGGACAUGGGAUGGGAUAGAAGAGGAAUACUCCUUCCACGAGUCAUAAGGGAAAGUCCCAUGUUGGAUCCUCUUCCAGUGGAACCAAAUUUGGUUCUGUCAUACUCUCUUCCAAUCCAAAGGAAGCCGAGUGCUUCCAUUAUCAUGAAAAAGGGCACUGGAGAUGAAGAUGUCUGAAACACUUGCAGGACAUAAAGGAUGGGAAGAUCAAACCCUCCUUUGCAGGUAUUUAUAUUAUUUUAACUAAUAACUCAUCACAUGCUAAUUCUUGGGUCCUUGAUACAGGAUGUGGCUUACACAUUUGUUCUGAUUUGCAGGGACUAAAAACAAGUAGGGAUGUGGAGCACGGGAAGAUAAACUUAAUGAUGGGGAAUAGGGGAAAGUCGCUUGUCACCAAGAUUGGAGUUUACUCUAUAUUACUUAGUAAUGAUUUAAAAUUAUAUUUGAAUAAUUGUUGUUGCUCAUCCGAUAUGGCGAGGAAUAUUAUUUCCUUUCACAGAUUAUAUGAACAAGGUUUUACCUUUUCUUUUAAUAAUGAAAUUGGUAGUAUUGUUGCUUAUUACAAUGGUGUAUUUUAUUUUGAAGCAGCACCUUGCAAUGGCAUAUAUGAAACUCUGAUGGUGGUAGAUAACUUAGGAAAUAAUGUGUUGCAUAUUGAUUAUUCUAUAGAUUUGGAUAAAGCAUGCUUAUGGCAUUGUCGUCUUGGACAUGUUAACAAGAAGCGCAUAACCCAACUCCAAAAGGAUGGAGUGUUGGAUUCAUUUGACUUAAAGUCAGAUGACACUUGUGAAUCUUGUUUACUUGGAAAGAUGAAAAAGUCAUCCUUCAUUAGCACUUGUGCAAGGGGUGAGGGUUUGUUGGAUCUCAUACACACAGAUGUGUGUGGACCCUUCAGAACCAACACAAGGGAUGCUAACCGCUUCUAUGUGACUUUUACUGAUGAUUACAUCAGAUAUGGCUAUGUCUACUUAAUCAAGCAUAAGUUAGAAACCUUUGAAAAGUUCAAAGAGUUUAAGCAAGAAGUGGAGAAUCAAUUGGGCAGGUUUCCACGACUACCUUAAGGAAUGUGGAAUCAUUUCACAAUUGAUGUCGCCUAGGACACCACAACUUAAUGGUGUAGCUGAGAGGCACAAUUAAACCUUGCUACACAUGGUUCGUUCUAUAAUGAGUCGAUCUUCGUUACCUAUCUCAUUCUGGGGGUAUGCCUUAGAAACUGCUGCCCAUAUUCUUAAUCUGGUCCCAACUAAAAGGUUUCCAAAACACCUUACGAGAUGUGGACAGGGAAAGUUCCCUCGUUACACAUAUCAAAGUUUGGGGUAGCGAGGAUUUUGUGAGAAAAGAAACUCAUGAAAAGCUAGAACAUCAUAGUGAGCAAUGUAUUUUCAUCGACUACCCAUAAAAAUCCUUUGGAUAUCUUUUCUAUAGACGGAGUGACAAUAUUAUCUUCAUUGCAAGGAGAAGAGUCAUUCGCGAGAGAGAACUCAUAUGCCAAGGGGACAGUGGGAGGCAAAUUGACCUUGAAGAGCUUCAAGAGUUAAGUGAUGAAGGAACCUCAAACACUAGCACUCAACCCGAGGAGGAAACUCAUGUUGAACCAAUUCACGAGUCCUUACCGCUGAGGCGUUUCGGUAGAGUUAGGCAGGCACCUGAGUUUUACCGUUGAGGCGUUCCAAAUUUAUCAAUGAUAGCACAUUGAUAAAUUUGGAUGAACCUAACAACUACAAGGAAACCAUUGCAGGCCCCGAGUCUGCAAAAUGGAAAGAGGCAAUGGACAGCGAGAUUCAUCCCAUGUGUGACAAUCAAGUUUUAAACAUUGUUGACAAUGUACCAGGCCGUAAAACAAUUGGGUGAAAAUGGAUAUUCGAGAAUAAUACCGACAUGGAUGAGAAAGUACACACUUAUAAGGCGCGAUUGGUUGUGAAUGGAUUUACUCAAAAUCCUGGAGUUGACUAUCAUGAGACCUUUUCACCAGUGGCCAAAAUUAAAUCUAUAAGGGUUAUGCUUGCCAUAGCUACAUUUCAUGAUUAUGAAAUAUGUCAAAUGGAUGUCAAAACCACUUUCCUAAAUGGGAAGUUGGCUGAGGAUGUUUACAUGAAUCAGCCAAAGGGUCUUGUCGAUGCAAAGUACCCUAAUAGAUUGUGUAAGCUUGAGAAAUCCAUUUAUAGAUUAAAACAAACAUCUCGUAGAUGGAAUCUUUGUUUCGAUGAGAAAGUCAAAGAGUUUGGCUUUUCGAGAAGUCAGGAUGAGUCAUGCGUGUAUGUCAAAGCUAGUGGGAGUAUAGUUAGCUUUCUCGUGUUGUAUGUGGACGACAUACUGCUCAUAGGAAAUGACAUCCCAACCUUGCAGGAGAUUAAAUCCUGGCUUGGGAAGUGUUUCGCUAUGAAGGACCUCGGAGAAGCUGCUUACAUUCUAGGGAUAAGGAUAUUGAGAAACAAGGGUAAAAGACUAAUAGGACUUAGUCAAAGUAACUACUUGGACAAGGUGUUGAAAUGUUUCACCAUGCAAGAUUCCAAGAGAGGAGAAUUACCUAUCCAAAGCAAUUCCACACUAAGUAAGACUCAAAGUUCGAGUCCUGAUGCUGAAAUAGCAUAAAUGAGUCGAAUACCAUAUGCUUUUGUAGUUGGCUCGAUCAUGUAUGUUAUGACAUGUACUUUCCCUGAUGUAGCCUUUGCAUUGAGCAUGGUUAGCAGAUAUCAGGGAAUCCUGGUAAAGCUCACUGGACUAUGGUAAAGAACAUUCUUAAGUACUUAUGAAGGACUAAGGACUGGAUCCUUACCGAUGACUUAAGAGUGGUAGGGUAUAGUGAUGCCAGCUUUCAGACCAUCAGAGGUAAUUUCCGCUCUCAGUCAGGCUGGAUAUUUACCCUAAAUGGAGGAGCAAUAACUUGGAAAAGUUCCAAACUAGAGACAGUAGAGUAUAUAGCAGCAAGUGAAGCAUCAAAUGAGGCGAUAUGGCUGAAGAACUUCAUUGGAGACCUUGGAGUUAUACCAGCUAUAAAGGAGCCCAUGGAGAUUUCCUGUGAUAGCGACAAUGCGGUUGCCUUAUCUAAGGAACCAAAAGAUCAUAGCAGAUCAAGACACAUCAACAUAAAAUAUCACUUCAUAAGACAUCAAGUAGAGGAGGGACUCAUCAUGGUUAACAUGGUAUCUUCAGAAGAGAAUCCAGCAGAUCCCCUUACGAAGGGACUGAGUAGGGUUAAACACAUCCGGCACGCUAGUAGUAUCGAGUUGAAGGAUGAUAUUAGUUUUAGUGAUUAGAUAGAAUUUCAUAAACUUGUAAUAGUUAAAAUGUAAUUGACAUUUGAUGAUUGAAUAAAAGGUGUUUUUUAUAUAUAAGUAGUGUUACUGUCUUGGGUUAAUUAUUUACUAUUGUUUCAUUUUUGCAUGUUUUGACUUCCAGAAUAAUAAGAUUAUUCAAACUAUCCAUAGUCGAUCAUACUUUGGAAGUAGGUCAUGAAAAAAGACUGUCAGAAAUGGGCUUUUGUAUGACUAUCUACAGUGUUAUACAUAGCAAACGACUGCUACAAACAUUCAUGAGUGCUCUUGAAAUAAGAUUUGAGUAUUGGACUAAACUCACGCUCACAUAUCACUUCAUGGAAUUUAUCACGGGUGAUUGUGAGACAAUAAUAUUGUAUAAUCUUCAAACCAAGAUAUAUGAGUUGGCAAUUAUUUGUUGAUUGUUCAUUAAUAAUGCGAAAACGCAUCAGUGACUCGAUGUUAUAAAACGUAUUGUUAUGUAUGAUUCAAUGAAUAGUUAGUACAAGCAUAUAAGUUGAAUUUUAUCCAUUCCUUUUAUCCUAAGAGGAUUAAAAGUGAUAUCUUGGGCCCCUCGAUGAUUUUGUUUUGACUUAUGUGUCGGGCCCGGUUAGAACUCUCUUGAUGUGUUCAAUUAAGUUCUAUGUCAUACAAAUCGGAAAUCGGGAAACAAACAGCAGGACACUAAGUUUGACUAUGUUCCAUGUAUUUGUCCGCACGAUAUCUUGUAGAACAGAGGAUUAUAUGAUCACUUAUCUAAUGGACGCGUCAGAGUUCGACAAUGGCUUUUUUAGAGCUACGAUUGCUAAUCGGAUUUUAAGCUACAUUGGCAAUUAUAGUUAGUAGACUUAUCUAAGUGGGAGACUGUUGGAAAAGGUGUCUAAGCCGAUAUCUAUAAUUAGUAUGUACUUGACCCAAUAGUAGCAUGGUCCAUUUGGGUUGCAUUCAUUAAAGCAAUAUGUUAGGAAGGAUAUUUGACUAUGAGGUUAUUUAUGAUUUAAUAAUAUAUUAUAAGUAUAAUAUAUCAAUUGAGGAAUCAUAUUAUUUAAAUUAGUAUUGAUCAAAAAUUAUUUUAGUGAUCAAAAGAGACUAAUUAAAAUGAUACAUAUGAGUUGGGAUAAAGAUCCAUGGUUUAAUUUGUGAUGGGCUUAUGGAUUAAUUCAUGAAGUAUUUAUCCAAAUCAAAUAGAUGGGUCAUGGGCUAAUGUGUAUGGAUUAGGGUUACACAUGACCCUUAUCUGAUGAUAACCCGAAUGUAGAUCAAUCUUGGAAAACCAAGACACACCCCUAAGUUGGUCAAACAAAUCAUCAAUGCUCGGGAGUGGAUAAAGGUUCCUCACCAUUAGCUUAUUCUACUCCCGGUAGUCAAUACAUAUUCGAUGCGACCCAUCCUUCUUCUUCACAAACAGGAUCAAUGCACCCCAAGGCGAACUACUCGGUCGGAUGAAUCCCUUGUUUAACAGCUCCAACAACUAUGUAGACAAUUCAUGCACCUCUAGAGGAGCUAAUCAAUAUGGUGCUUUGGCUAUUAGAGAAGCACCAGGAACCAAAUCAAUUCAGAACUCCACCUGCCUCUUCGAAGGCACCCCGAGUGAAUCCUCCGGAAACAUAUCUGGGUACUCCCGCAUACCCGGCACAUCAUUAACCGAUGUCCUAUCCUCCUCCCGGGUAUCCAUAUCAUAGGAGAAGAUCCCAGAACAACCAUGAUUGAGAUAGCGUUGGGCCCUAGUAACUGAGUAUAGGACCGGCCCACGUUGAGCGCCCUCUCUAUGGACCACCAAAUCUCCCACACUUGGGGUCGGAACACAUACGAACUGGCACUCACAAUCGAUCAUCUCCCCAUUGGGGCUCAACCAAUCCACCUCCACUAUAACCUUGUUCCCGCGCAGAGGAAUGGGAACCAAGUCAAUCGGAUACCGCCCGCUAAACAUCCCCAUAACAUAAUCCUGAUGAACCCUCGAUGCUCGGAUGGAUCGAUCGUCCGCAAUCUCAACCUCUAAUGGAUGAUGCAGCUCACUUGGAGAUCCAACAAACCUCUUGCUGAGCACAAGAGACACAAAAGAUCGAGUAGACCCCAAAUCAAAUAAUACCAAAGUAGGGACACCAUUCACAAGGAACGAUCCUAAAACAAAACACAUAAAAUAUAAGAAACAAAAUCAACAUAAAUAGAGAUUUAAGGAGAAGACACAUACCUGUCACCACAUCUGGUGCAGCACGCACCUCCUCGGCGGUCAACUGAAAGGCCCAGCUCCUCACCAUGGGAGCAUCCUCCUUGCCCUAGCAUCCAUCUAUGAUCCAUAGGGUUGCAGGACCUGGUGCUACCACUUGUCCUCCUAAUGCAAGACUUAGGCAGUUGGCCUCUUUGUGGCCCCUCUGAUUACAAUGAAUGAAAAUCAGGUCUGAUGUCUGAGAAGUGGAGAUAAAAGCAAUACAAUCCUUGUUAAAGUGCCCUGACUUGUUGCACUUGUAGUAGCCUGAACCACCCGCUCUGCAAGAGCUACAACAUAGAGUUAAACCUAUCCUUCUAAAAUUAUCUAGUAUCGGUAAUAUGUAACCAAACGCAUUUAUCCACUAGUUAGUUAGUACCAACAGAACUUCCUAAAGCACAAAGCAUGUGACAUUUAAGCACCAUGAAAUUCAACUCAAAACAUACUCUAUACAGGCCAUCCUAACAAGUACUAGCAUGUAAAUCUAAAAGCUCAUAAAGAUAGGCACAUAAAGGAAUCUCUCCUAGCAUCGUAUCAUGCAAUUCUAAGCAGAUCCUUAGCCCAUAAUCUAACAUGCAAUUCUCAUAUCGUAGCAUAAAACAUAUAACUUGUAUGGGAAUUUUAGGAAAACUGACUUGAGCUCAGCCGAUUCCACGCAUCACAUCCGUUGUCUUUUAUAAAAAUCCUUAGAUUUAAAUGUUACUUUUUGUGAAAAACCUACCAAACCCUCAAUUUGAGUCCAGGCACACCCGAUAGUAUGCCCGAAUCCCUGAAACCAAGGCUCUAAUACCAACUUGUAACAUCCCCAAAAAUACAGAUAAAAUUUGGUUUUAUAUUCAUUCAAUUCAUAAGAAACUGAUAUCAAAAUAUUUGAAAGAGUCAUAUUGUAACAUGUUAUCAAAGUACAAAUCCCAAAAUCACUAAGUGUGGAAAAAUAUAGAGUGAUACGGUGCGAUCAGGUCGGGGCCUUCCCCUUCAAACUGGAAGUACCUGAAACAGAAACUGAAAACUAUAAGCACAAAGCUUAGUGAGUACCCCCCAUAAUACCAUAUACUAGACAAACAUACUGCCAAGCAUAUCUGGAUGUCAGCCUACCCCUUCGGUCUAUUUCAACUGGAUAAUGUCAAGCAUAUUUGGAUGCUUGCCUACCCCUUCAAUCUAUCUCAACCAGAUACUAUCAAGCAUAUAUGGGUGCUUGCAAUCGCCUUCGGUCUAUUUCAACCAGAUACCGAGUCUAUUUCACUACUUAUUACUACCACAUAAUAUCAUAAUAGAAAUCACAGAUUCAUCAAGCAAAUGUAGGAAUAAUUGAAAAUUAUCAUAAAGACGAUCAUCACUCUAUAACAUAAACAAGUGGCUCGGCUUUGGUGCCUUCGACCCAUGGCUACUGCGAAGAAAGACUCACCUUAGAUUGCGGGUAUCAAAUUACACUCAACGGAUGACUUGUGAAUUCAUCUCCCUAUCGCACAAACAUAAAACUGUAAUUAAAAAUUAGGUCACAUUCUAACCAAAAGGCCGAAAACCCUAAUUUUGACUUAAAGCAAAAGGGAUCUUUUACAUUCACCUUAUUGGCCUCCUUUCCUCUAAGGCCCAAAUCCACAAAAAUCAAAAAAGGCAUCCAAGCCCACUAUAGGGCCUCUAAGGCCCAAUAUGGCCCAAGAACCCCAAACAUGGCCUUAGGACCAAAAAUGACAUGCUACAAUAAGGUGGGCCCAAGGACCAACUUACUCAAGUCUAAAGCUCAACAUCAAACGAGCCUAAAAAGCUUCUAGGCCUACUGACUACGUACGUGCGGUGUACUUGACUUGUAUGGCCAGUGUACACUGGUAUUGACCAGGGGUUGAGGCGCUGACCCAGUACGCGCAGCGUACACUGGAGUACGCAUGACAUACUGGUCUGCCAACCCAAACUCACUUCCAUGUCUUAAUCCUUUAAGUCCUAACAUUCAAAACUUAGAUCUAGACCCCCAAAAAUGUCCUAAGCCAUCAAGUUGCAAACUUUAUGCUUUUGCAUCCAAGGAUGGGGCUCUAAACAUGAAUCAAGUCCAUAAGCACACUUGGAUGGUUCCUAAAUCAAGCAUGAUUGAGGCUUAACCAUCAAGAUCCGAUUUUUAUGACUCAAAACACCUCCAAGAGCUCAAAAGGACAGCUCAUAUGAUCUCAAGUUGCUCAACUCCAAGAAUCCAAACUAUAUGACCAAAAGAUACCAUUUUCUACCCUAAACCUAUAUCUAAGCAUGCAAAGAUCAAGGUUUAAACUUUAUACCUUCCAUAGGUAAGAAAUGGUGCCAAACUUCUAGAUCUACAAGCUCUUCCCAUGUCCUUACUUCUUCCCAAAUUUUCCUUCUUCUUCAAAGACUCUAAAGAACACCAAAAACUCUCAAGAAAACUCAUAAAUGCCCUCAAGGUGGCUUAGGGUUCGAGAUCUGCACUUCAAGGGCAAUGGAGGCUGAAAAGGUAAGGGACUUAGGGGACUUAAGGUCCUUAAAUAUGGUGUAAACCCAAAAAAUUAGGGUUUAUCUCAGAGUCACGUAUGUUAUGCAUACUCCAAAUAUGCCCCGUGUAUGUGGUUAAGUCCCACAACCAGAUUAUGGCUAGUAUGCUAAGCGUACCCAAUGAGUAUGUCCCGCGUACUAACCAAGGGACCAAUUUUUGAAGAAAAUUUGCAUCAGGGCUAAAAGAAAAAAUUACCAAAAACUUGAAUGUUACAUGUCACGAUGACAAUGAUUAAGGACUUUUUUUAGCCGAACAAAAGGAAGAAAUGAGACAAGUCAUUCGAGAAAACAAAAGAGAACCUACUAAAUUAGUUGUGCAACCUAAGUUGAAUGAGGAUCAGUUAGAGGAAGGAAAUUGUAUUCGGACUUUUACUCGAACCAGAGCACGAGUGGAUAGAAGAAACAACCCUAACGAAGGGAUUGAAAAGGAUAGAUGCAAGGACAAAGACUUCAUGGCUGCCAAACCGCGCGCCAAGUCUAUCUGGGAGCCUAACGCCAGUGCAGGUUAUGAAGUGGAUCUCUGAGAUAGAGAUGGUAUUUCAUAGUUGCAACUGCACCAACCAACAGGACCGUCUUAGUAGUCAGACAACAAAAGACAGGGGUGUUGAGCUGGUGGAAAUUGUUAGAUAACUCCAUGUUGAAGGGAAAGGUGUGGAAGAUGUCUUGGGAAGACAUCCUUAAGGAACUAAAGAUGCAGUACUGCUCCGAGCAAUAUCUUUUGAAAAUCAAUAAUGAAUUCUAGAACCUAAAGAAAGGAAAGGUAACUGUCAGCGAGUAUGUUGCAGCUUUUACAAAGAAGAUGAAGUUAGUUCAUUACCUGGAUCAUAUCGAUAUUUCGAGGGUGAAUAAGUUUUCUAAUGGACUACCAAUAUAUUAUGGUCCAAUGGUGAAACUAGAAAUUACCUUGAAAUUAGCUAUGUGGUCAGCUAGAAAUGUGGAGACCCAGAUACGAGAAAAUGGUCUGGAAAGACCAGAGACAUGAGAGAAAGGGAAUCUUUAGGGAGCUUUAAAGUCCAAAAAUAAAAGUAAAAUUUCAAAGUCUAGAUCCAAUGAAAUAAGGUCUGGGAAUACCAAUGAAUCAAAAUGGUGUGAGAAGUAUAGGAAGAAACACUUCGAAAGAUGCACCAAUGAAGUGAAUUGCUUCAAUUGUGGCAAGACUUGUCAUUAUGCUUGUAACUUCACUCAGAUCAUGUGUUACAAAUAUGAAGAAGUAGUUCAUCUUACGAAUGAUUUCAACGAACUAGCAAUACCGAAUGUGCCACUAAAUCCAAAGACAAGAGCAUUCCAGGUGAUCCUUCACGGAGCAGACGAAGAUGUAGCAGAUCAAUAAUGAGGAAUUAUGUAUCCGAAGUACGAGAUAGGAAGCAAACAUCUCAUAUUGAUAGUAUUAUAUGAUGUAGCCUGAUGUGAGAGGAAAAAGGGUAGGAUGAACUUGAUUAACCCUGUAAUAAUUUUUAAGAAGAAAUAUAAUCCUUAUUUGUGUUACAUUAUCCGAUGUGUUAUGUUCAUAUAUGAUUUUCUUGUGUGGUGAGUUGGAGAACUGAGAGGCAAUACUUGGGAUGAGUAUAAGUAUGUGUGAAAGGUAGUAAGUGCCUAUACUAUUAUACUACUGAAAGCACAUGACUCGCACUUGAAUCAGGGAAAGGUAUUAGAGCAUGGUCGUUUGGUAUAUUGUGGUAUUCGAAGUAAAGACCUUAGUUUAGGUUAAGUCUAUUCUAGAAAGAGUAGGAGACUCUAAUGAAGAUCAAAUUUAGAAGGAAUAACAGGUGCAAUAUUGAGCAAUGCCCGCAACUUUGGGCUAGUCAAUCAAAAUAGUAAGCAAAAAACAAAUUUCUGAUUUAAGAUUAUUUAGGAUGAAUAAUCUUAACCAAAUUCAUAUAUAUGUGACAAGGAUUAUGCAUAUAUAAAGAACAUUGAAAUCCAACUUCGUACGAACAAGUUAUGCUUCUUUGAAAUUUUGUGAUUAAACCAACACGGCUCUGCGUAUCGUAAAAAGUGAAUUUUUGAUAAAUUACUUUUGAUCCUAAGUGAUCUAAAUGAAAUUCAUAGUAGUCGUUAAACCGAGAGCAUGCAUAUAGAGAACGUCCAAAUCGACUUCGUGAGAGGAAGUUACGACUUUCGAAGUUCCAACGUAAUAGUUCAGGCGUAGAAAUCAAAAUUUAAAUUGCUUGAUUGUCAUUUGAAACAAUCUAAAAAAAUUGAAGAUCUAUUAAUAUGAACUUGUCGACAUAAAGAUAUUCGAGAACGGGGUUCGUAUGAAGAAGUUAUAAAUUUCGCACGGACUUUAAUAGUCUAAACCAGUCUAAAUAUUAAUUUUUGUUAGAGCAAGAAUUAGUUGUUAAGACCUUAAUUAAAGUUGUAGAGCUCGUCAAGUGAUUCCGGGGAUAUAAUUAAUGUCAAAAACGGAGCUCGUACUCGAAAGGUAUGGUCGUUAGAAGAUCUACGAGAAACUGCCUGGCUUGAUGACGUGGCACCACAUGGCAUUGUCAGAUAGUCACUCUCUCCAUGAUACAUGGUGACAUGGAACCAAAAAAAAUCCGACAUGUGGCUUACUAAAAUCGUGACACGUGGUGACCUUCAACAAGAGGUGACGUGACUCCAUAGGGCUACGACAUGUGUCAUCUUUUGAAAGGAGCCAACCAAUGCAACCGAUCAUGGGCGUGGUGCACCCCGAUAGCAUGUGCAAAAUGAUUUUCUUGGAUGGCUAUAAAUACUCCUCUUUCAUGCUCAUUUGUCACACAUUCCUCUCAAAACCUCCCUUCUUCUCUAGAUUUGACUUUAAGGGGUUUACUAGUCUAUAGUGGUGCCCUGGAAACAUCAAAGAGCCUAUCAUAAUAGAAGUUUUCGGUUUUGGGGAGUUGUUUGCACAUUUUCCUAGUUUUCAAGUUAAGUUAUACUCUUUUUCUUUCAAUGUAACUUAUAUUUAUAGUCAUAAUUCAUCAUUAUGGACCUAUGAAUAAGAUUUAUUAGUAAUUUCAAGUCAUUAUACAGAUUAAUCUACUUACAGAGAUGAUGUCAAGGCUGGAUUUAGUGAGGUGUUUAAAGUGCGAUAUCCAAACAAUAUACUCUAUAUACAAAACAGGCCUUACCUCCAAUAUGAUCCUACCUGGUUGUUCCUUACUAGAUAGAUCUUGAUGUAGACAUUAGGAUUAGUGAGGAAUCUAUACUAUCAUUAGUCGCCAUGAAUAUUAGACUAAUACCUAGUGAUAUUCGUACCUUGGACACUUAUAGAUCCUUUUAUGAUAGAUCCUUUGUGAUUAUCAGUUUGGAUCAAGAAGUGAGAAUAACAGGAAUUCGUGAUCAGGUUAAUUUUUUUAUGCGAAUUAUAUAAUUCUAACAAAUUAAUUAUAACAUUGUUUUUUGAAAAUUCUAUGUACUUACCAUGUUUCUCAACCUAAACCACUCAGCUUCUUUGUAUCAAAGGUAUGGGUACAAAGGUACAUGAAUGAUGAGAGAUUCAAGCAAAUGUAGACAGUUAGUCUUGAUAGGUUUUAAGCAUUCUAACACUCCUAAGGUUUACAUGCAACCCUAAAUACCUUGGAUCUAUGUUUUCUCUAUUAUACAUGCAAACUUGAACUUUCAAAGGUAUUACCCUAACUAGCAUACAAAACUUUAAUACUUGGGUAAUAAAACAAGUUAGAUAACAUACCUUUUCUUUGUAGCUUGUUGAUUGGACUUUCAAGAGCUUAGCACCAAUAGUACGAAUGCCUAAAAUGGAAUCACAACACACGUAGAACAAAGGAUAACUUUAGAAAAGAGUCGUUGCACACACAAAUCGGCUAGCUCUCUAGUAUACCACUUAAGUGCCAAUUUCAUGAGCUAGAGGGGUUCUUAUAUAGUGUGGCUAACUAGGGUUACACCAUGUAAACCCUAAUAACUUUCCAUAUCCCUCAUGCUCCAUAGGUUAAAACCUCCAUGGAGUAUCCAUGGGUUACCACAUGGGUUUAGCCUAACAUGAAGAACUAUGGAUCAUAAGCCCAAUUUAUAAGAAUGGAUGAUUUACCAAAUCAACCCCUUAUAUUUAAUUAGUCUCUUUUUUAUCACAGAAUUAAUACCAAAUUAAUUAUUGAUCAAUACUAGUUAAAUAAUAUGAUUUCAUAUUAAUAUAUUAAAACUUAUAUUAUAUUAAUAAACCAUAAAUAACUUCUUCUCAAAAGUCCAUCCUAUCAAAUUGUCCUUGUGAUAUGCAACUCAAAUGGACCAUGCUACUCUCGGGUCAAGUACAUACUAAUUAUAGUUAUGGGCUUAGACACUAAUCCAACAAGUCUAAGAUAGUAGUAUGGCCUAUUUAUGCUUAUGUGUUGUAUCAGUUAUGACAUUCCAUGCUUUUAAAAAAUAAUGAAACACAUUUCUUAGGAAAUACUUUAACAGCACCAAAGUCUGCAUUUAUAAAUAAACAUUGAAUUAAAUAAGCAUAAAUAAAUUUUUUUUUAAAUGGUCAUUAAAAUCGGGAUAUCACAUAUGGUUAUCUUGUUAUUUUGUGAAUAUCCUUUGUUAUUUCUCAAUUUUUGCAUAUUUUUUCGUUAACUCAUCUUUCUUUUUAUAUAUUUUGAUCAACAAUUAAUGAAUAUGUUUAAUGUUUCAAAGAAUUAAAUGGUUGUUAUAAAUGUUAAAAAACUAAUUAAAUCAAAAUACCCUCAUAAAAAAACAAAGAAAAACACAAGAUGUGAAGCAUUCACUGUAGUAAAUAAAUGCAUCAACACACUAAGUCCUCAUAAAGAUUAACUAUCAAAAUAUAUUAAUUUCAUCAUGAUUUAUUAGAUACUAUAUGCAUACUACAAAGCGUUCCACCUGAACCCCAAGGUUUAGUAAACGCCCAUAAUGGAUCAGGGAAUGAUACAUUCAAUGGAGAUAUAUAAAAUCCAUCCGAUCGUAAUAGCCAAUAACAGUAUUCAACACGAAAUCCAAACCUAUCGCACUUUCUUCGAGCAAGUUUAGCAAACACUUCCAAGCAAUCAUAUGUUUGACCCCACCAAAACUCAGCAUCAAAUGUUGUGGUGCCAUCAAAUCUAUCACAAAAUGACCAAUCAUAAUAACCAUUUGAAGGGACAUUAUGUUUCCCCAGAUCAUCAUCUUUUGAUCUAACAUGCAUAAUGAUAUUAUCAGGAGUACCGUUAAUAAUAUAGAUCUUCCAUUCUGGAGUAAAGAAGCAAGCAUUUGUGAUGGAAGGGAUGGAAAAUGUUAAGAUGAGAAAAAUGAAGAGGCUACGCAUUGCACAAGAUAAGUUUAAAAGAAACUUAAUUUUGUAAAUUGUAAUAGUUGGGUUUUUAUAGAAAUUUGGGUUCUCAUUCUAUCUCAAGAAAGGAUAUAGUUCAUUACGCUAGUAUUUAAGAUGCAUUAACUACUACUAAUGUAAGAUAGUAAAUUACGCAAAUCAUCCCCAUGGUUUAGCAUAAUCUUCGACUUUCGUCCUUGGCUAUUUUUUUCUUCACUCAGACAAUUCGAAAGUUAAUAUUUGUUCUAUUGAUAUUUAAGACACAUUAACUAUUAGGGUUCUUAGAGUUUGACAUGGGCUCUAGAUGACUUCUCAAAGUGCAUUGAUGAAGAACAGGUUGAUUUUUGUUGGCGAUUAAGAUCCAAAAGCAUAUGCAACAUAGUGUUUUUCCUGUUUUCUGUGAAGUUGGUCUUUAUAAUAUUUUGUUAUUCUUGAUAAUUUAUGGAGUAUGUNAUAUUAGGUGCAACCUAAUGCUUACCAUGUUUUGUGUGUUAUCAGUUAUAAAAAGAAUUUGACUGUGGUAAAGUUUUACUUAAAUUUGAUACAUCAUUGGGCAACAUGACUUGGUCCAUGGAAAUAUAUGUUUUAAGUUUUUCUUAUAGCCUUUUCGUAGGGAAUAAAGCGAUAUGACGGUGUGGGGUUUCAUGCUUGUCUUCUUCGAGAUACAAGUUAGGAAAGGAUAAGGAAUGGAAUGUGUUAUGGAAUUAAUUGUUUUAAUAAUAAUUUUAAAAUAUCAUUAAGGGAAAAUAAUAGUUUUAAUCUGAUCUGAUGCUACAGUUGAAAUAAAACAAAUCUCAGGGAUCUUCCGAAUGAAAAACUCUUUAUAAGGAUGAUAUCUAGGUAUUAGAACAAAUCGAGGGAACAAUUUAUGUAAUUUCUAUUGUAUUUUUUAUGAAUUGAUUGAGACAACUAAGAAUAUUUAUUGUAGCUUUUACAAAAUAAAAAAUAUUAUAUGUUUAUGUUGUUUAUUAGUUUAUAUAUCUUAUGAAAUAUAUAUAAUAAAAAAUGAAUAAGUAUUAAUUACGAUAAAUAUUGCCAUAAUUAAAUGGGAUAAUAUUCCUCAUAAUAAAUGAUUAUUAUAUCCAUUAGGACACAUCUUAGAAAAUCUCAUAUUUAUAUAAAAACUAUUUACUAAAGGGCUUCUAGCCCAGCGGUAUUCGGUGUUGCUCUCCUUCCUUGAGGUCGAAGGUUCAAGUCCCACUGUGAACAUAUGUGGAAUAAUUUAGGAGUAGUUUAGUAUAUGUUUGUACUUGCCGUUCCAAUAUAUAUAUAAACAAACCAUUUGUUAAUAUAAAAUAAUAUUCAUUUGCGAAAUAUAACAUACAUUAAAAAUUAAGAAACGAGAUGAUAUGCUUUAAUAAACGUCGAAGAUAGAUGGAUAUACAAAGGAAUGGGAUUUUUUAAUAGAUUUUUAUAAGAUAAAAAUUAAUAUAAAUAUGAUUUUGCAAAAGUAAUAAGUCAUUUGGAAGCUUACAAUUAAAGAUGUCUUAAAAGCUAUCCAAUUACCCAUCUCAAUCCAAUAAAAUUGCCAACAAAAUAUUUAAUUAAUAAAGUCAAUGAAUUCAUACAAUUUGCUCCUUCCAACUCCUCAAGAUUGCUAAAAUUAUGCCCUACUCGUGUUUUCCUCAUGUGUUAUAUGUCACCUUAAACAUAAGAAUUCAUUUUUAACAAAAAUGAAGAAAAUAUAUCAUAUUUUGGAAUUUUUUCUAUACAAAUAUAAAAUAAUUGUCCAAUAUUGAUUAUAAAUAAUAAAAUUUUAUUGUUUUUGUGUAAAUUAAAAAUAUUAAUGUUUUUUAUAAUUUUAAGAAUAAUAGUAUUUAUUAAAAAUAUUAUAAUAUUAUAAUACAAAAUUAGGUUGGAUUGAGUUGUUGACAUAAACACUCUAAUGAUUAGACUACUACAAAACCCUCAUAGAAAAAAUAACAAAUAAUUUUUACUUGUAAAAUCAAACAGAUACUAAAGAAUUUUCAUUUAACUUGAUGGACUAUGUUCAUUUAUUUAAAUUCUAGAUUUGUAAAAUAUCUCUAUAACGGAGUGAAAUAGAAAAAUUGGAGAGAAAUAUUUUUUUUUUGAAGAUGAAAUGAUCACAUCUACAUUGCAUUAUUACAUGAAGGAAAUCCGUAAACGACUAGCUUACUAACUAACCUCAAGGCUUAACUAAAUGUAUCAAACCACAACUAACUUAGACCCCAAAUAAAUUUAACUAACAUGAAUUAAGUUACGAUAUUACCAUUUACACUCUAAUAUUCCCCCACAUGAUAGACUAGAUGAAUAAAUGUUUUUUGGAGACGCCGUUAACAUAAAAGGUAAAAACAUGGAUGAAGGUUAAGGCAUUGUAAACAUGGCAACCAACUCAAAAAAUAGAUCUAGUUAUUAGAAACCUUUUCUCGAAUAAAGUGAUGAUUAAUUUUGUAUAUUGUUUCUACGCUAAUGAAAUAUCCAAUUAGCUGUAGAAGAGUGAUGUGAAAUGCCAAAAUCUUUUAGGAGUUGUCUUGUAGAAGAGUGAUGUGAAAUGCCAAAAUCUUUUAGUUGUCUUAGCUGUGAUUACUAACAUUACUUGAUACAAUUGUUUUUUAGAAGUGAAGUGAUUCGUACACAACAAUUUUUUGUCAUACACAACAAUUCAUGCAUUAUAUCAUUAUACAAUACAACAUUUUAAAGCAUCAAUUGUUAUACAAUAUAACAUUUUAUAUAACAUUAGGCUUUUAAUUAGAAUUCCAUGAUUUUAACUGCUAAAAAAUAUCAUUCUUCAGGUUCAAUGAUCAUUGUCUUUUACUUGAUCAAUUUAGUUAAUUGAAUAGACAAAUUAAGGCUUCGUCUAUUAUCAAUGUGAGAUGGGUAUCUCAAAUCAUUUUAGCAAAACAAAGUUAUAAAAUUAUAUUGUAACUAGCUGAAUGCUCGCGCGUUGCGCAGAAACACAUAUAUAGUUGAAAUCUUUACAAAUAUAUAUUUUUUUAAAAUAGAACAAUAACAUUGUUGUUAAAUUUGAUAUAAUAAUUUGUAUAAUAAGUUGAUAUGAUAUAUCGAUUAUUUUGAUUUAUAUGAUUAUAUAUAUAUAUAUAUAUAUCAAUUAAAACUUCAUAAUCUUAAUUCUUUGAAUGACCUCUACCUGCGGGUUAUUCAUAAAUAAAAUUAAAUAUAAUGUAUGGUUUAAUAUUAUUUAUAGUUGUUGUUAUUGUUAAUUAAUUUUUUAAAAUUAUUUGCUAAACGUUUUAAUUUCUAUCAAUGUAAUUAUUUAAAACAUCAAACAUUGUUUUAUGAUUUUAGAGGUAACAAUAUAAUCAUUCAUAUAGAGUUAUUUUUAACUAUUGUUAUUGUAAGUUAUAUUAAGCUAAUUAUUUGAAAACUUUUAACGAUUAUAAAAAUAUAUUUAUGAAAUAUUUUAGUUAAAUUGAUAUUACAAUUUAGUUUUUGCAUUUAGCAUUACUAUUUAUCACUUUUAACUAUUUCACAAAAUAUUUUUUAGAUUUUUAAGUUGAACUAAAAUUUAUAUUUAACUUGACCCUAUAAUGUUAUAUUGAAAUUAACAAUUUAAGUAUUUUAUACAAAUUGUUCAAAAGUUGUAGUUUUAAAAUGAUAAUGGUUUACAUAAAAACAACAUAUUAAAACUAAUAAAUUGAGUAUAAUAUGUUAAAAGUUAAAAACAUAAAUUUAUAAGUAGAAGUAAAGAUAUUCUUUUAAUAUUGAAAUUUAGUUUAUAUAUGAUUUGCUUGAUAUUUAUUUAACCUUAUUAAGAAACUUAUAAAUGAUUAUUAGAAAGAAAUUGAAAAGUUAAAACUUUUGGUAAUCUUAUGUUAUUGAAAAUUUUAUGUCAUUUAUAUUACCUAUAAAAUAGUAAUUAUUACAUUUAGUUUAUAUAAAAUUAAAAUUAAUUUGAACAAUAGAUAAAAUAACGCUUAUUAAAAUCAAAUAAUUUAAUCGUCUCUACUCUUGUUUUAUGUGUGUAUAACAUUAGUUAUAUUUGUCAACUAUUUUAAUUUACUACUGUUAUGAUUUAUUAAUUUAAAAAAUAAAUUUACGGUGUUUUAAUUUCAUCAUAAUGAUUAUUUAAAUUAUCAACAACUGUUUGUAAUGUAACAUAAUUUAAUUUUUAAGUUUCUAGUAUUUUUAGCUAUUAUUAUAAAUUAAUUUAAGAACUGUUGAAUUGAAUUUUAGUUAUUAUAAAAUAUAGUUUUCAUACACCUUUUAAUUAAUUCGAUUUAUAGAUUUAGGUUCUUUUAUAUUUAUUAUAUUUAAUGUUUUCCUUUUAACUAUUAACAAAUAUAUAUUGAAUUCAAAAAAUAAACAUUAUUUGAUAUUUUGCUUUAGGUUUUAAAUUUUACCCUAAAUUUUUAAGAUUAUUUGAAAUAUUAAUGUAGGUUAUUUACUUAACAAUAUAUUGAAGUUAACAAAUUAAGUAUAUCAUAUUGAUAAGUCAAAAAUUAUUCCAUUUAUGAUAAUGUUUACAGCUAAAAACAUAUUUAAGUUAAUAAAUUAAGUAUAUUAUACGGAAAUAUGAAGAGUUGUGUGGCAACCGCCAAAUUCCCGGUCAAGUCAAAGCCAAGUCAAGAUCAAUAGAUCAAUCUGGUCAGCUCAACUAGUGUUUAUAUGUUACGGAUUACCUUAUGUUACUAAUGUAUGACCCUAAAUCUUAAUGUGAAGUAUCACUUGAAAGUUCAAAUGUUCCAAAAAUUCUAGAUCCUAAUCAGGAUAAGGGAAGUAACAACUCUAUAAAACACUAUUAUGUGCCCUUUGGGGGUGUAUAACACUCAAAAAAAUGUGUAACUAAGUCUAAGGUCCUUGAUCUAUGAAGAAAAACAUUAAUAAAAGCCCCCAGCAAAGUCUCUCUAAAUCUCUCCCACUCUAUCCCUCUCUCUCCCAAAUCUCUCCAAGUAUAUCAAAUCUCUCCCAAAUCUCUCCAAGUAUAUCAAAUAUCUCUCAAAUUUCUCUAAGUAUAUCGAAUGUCUCUGAAAUCUCUCCAAGUAUAUCAAAUCUCUCCAAGUAUAUGUAAUCUCUCCAAGUAUAUUGAAUCUCUCCUAAAUCUCUCCAAGUAUAUGAAAUCUCUCCCAAAUAUAUCGAAUCUCUCGCAUAUCUCUCCAAGUAUAUGAAAUCUCUCCCAAAUAUAUUGAAUCUCUCCCAAAUCUCUCCAAGGAUAUGAAAUCUCUCCCAAAUCUCUCUAUGUACCUUCCUCAGUCGAAAACAGCUCAAAACCUAAGGAGAAAACCCAAAAGGACCCUCUUGGUCCGGAACCCUCUUUGUCUGGAAUGCCUUCUAAGGAGCCAAGAGGAAUCACAUCUCGGAACCUCCCCUACUUCGGAUCUCCUCGCCUGCUCCGGAAGGUUAAGCUCCAGAAAGACCUCGCUUAGGAGUUGCUUCGGAAUUCUAGCCAGCUUUGCACCUGGGUCCGGCCCUACUGAAUUCGCACUUGACUCUGGGUCCGAGGGAAAUGCUCCGGAUUUGAUCAAAUGGCUUUGGAAAUUACCCACUUGACUCCAAAUUUUGCUAAGAGGCUCUGGAACUCCCCUAAGCACUUCGUACCCUCGCAGGAACAAGGCUACACUCCGUAUUUUUUUCUAUUUCGGACUUUUUCUUCAAUUUAGGAUAUUUUGACGACGGGAAUACCUCCAAACUCGUAUUUUUCAUAUCUUAGACCCCUUAAACCCCCAUUUAUGCCAAAAUUAAUUAUUUUAAACAUAUUUAUAUAAAAUAAUACCCAAUAUUUUUAAAAGGAAUCUAAGUAGAUAAGGGGUUUGACUUUAUGAUGUGAUGCAAAUCCUUCAUUUUCCAUGCAAAUCCCAGUUAAACACAAAAUAUCCAUGGAUAACUAAGCCUUGUACACCAGCCCUCCAAGCAAGUUUCAUGUCACUCUUCUCCCUCCCUUUAGAUACGUGAAAUUCCUUCCCUUAUUCCAUUUCUCACUUUCACAUCUAGUAAACUUCUAAGAGUGCUCUCAACUCAUUCAAACCUCAAGUCCCACUCCUUCAAGGAAAACUCCCAGAUUUCUUUUUGAUACUCUAAAGUUCAAAGAACCUUUCACGUGUUGGAACUUGGGAGCUCCUUAACACUUCUUCAAAUCAUCUAGCAAGCUAAACCAAGGUGAGCUUCAUACCCCGACUUUUUCAAAGUUUUUAUUGUUUUGGGGGGAGAAUACAAGUUAAAUCUUUUCUAAAUCUUUGGAUAAUUGCAUGUAGUGGUAAGUUAAAUGUGUGUAUUAAAAUAUUAUUGUUUCAAGAUAACUUUUCAUCCACGUGGGAUUUUACAAAUCUCAUGAAGUUGGGAGUAUAUUUUAAUCACCACAUAAAGGAUAUUCUAUUUACAAAGAACCUCCCAAAUGUUUGGUCGUGUCCAACAUAUUCCUUUAUUUCAUGUCUUCAUGCCUAGAAAUGAAGUUCCUGAAAUAGACCUUGAUAAAUCGACUCCAUUUCUAGAAUUUUCGAAAUUUGGAACUUAAUGCCAUAUUAACGACUUUUUUUUUCAAACUAUUAGUGAUUAUUUAUAAAUUCUUGAUUUAAAUAAUUUCAUCAAGAAAAUAUACAAAUAGAGCCCUUAUGCCAGAAAUAUUUGCAUGUCAUAAAGUAUUUAUCAUAAUUUCACACAAGUCGUAGUUUUAUACAAAUCUAACUUGACACCUUUCGACAAAUUGUGUCUCAAUAGUAGUUUAUAAAGGGAAGGGCUAUGUUGCCGACUUCGAUAAUAUUGGGUCACUUUGAUAAAUAUUCAAGGUGGAUUAAUUCCAACAAACGAAACAAAACGAAACGAAAUAUAUAGUCAAUGAAUACAACUAUAAUUAUUUAUGUAGUCAAUAAUAUAUUUCAAUGAUUUGCUCAAAAGGCUAUUAAUAGUCUAGUCAGACAAAUCUGGAGGGGGGUAGGAAUAUGUGUAUAGAUCUAUAUGGGGUUGACAUCCCACACCUUUGUUGUUCGCUACAGCUAAACCGGCCACUCUGUGACAAAUGUCUUAAACAAAACCGAUGCCUGAAGAACAUCGUAAUAGGCACUCCGUCAUAUUAGUAUGCUUAUAACGACUCACUAGAAUAUAUCAGAAAUGUAUUUAUACAUAUUUCACCUUUGGUUUACGAUCAGUUAUGUUUUGAUUACCUCAAAUGAGACCUUUUUCACACAAGUGUUAUUGUUUUGUUAACGCUACUAUUUUUAUGCAUCAGAAAAUAUAGGAUUUUUUGGAGGAAGCAAUUUUAUACGAUUUCGAAAACGACGAGCUAAGGCCCACAUGCCACUAUACUCGAUUUCAAACAAGACUUACAACUAUUUUGAUAAUAAAAUAUUGGAUUUUCUGGAUUUCUAAACUAUCAUCGAAGUUUUAUAUGAAAAUGCUUAUGAACUCACCAACAUAUUUUAUGUUGACGCUUUUCAAACGACUUGCAUUCUCAAGAAACCAAUAAGCAGGUUAUGAAUCGCGGACUCAGGAUUAUUUUGCUGUGUUUUGGGAAUUACUUACUGAUGUUUCUUUUGUGUAAAUUUUGAGAACAUAAACAUGACGUAAAACAAUGUAAGUUUGAUAUCAAUGUAUGAUGUUUGGAUUUGCUAUGUUUCAUUUAUAUGCAAUUGUUACGAUACUACACAAUGAAGUCACCCGCCUCCGGACGUUUCCGUCAUUCUGGUCUGGGGGUGUGAUAAAUUGGUAUCAAAGCAUUGUUUAUAGUGAACUCAUGUAUUCUUGCACAAGUGACAUGGCAGGCUUUCACCUCCCUGGAGACCCAUACUUUCCCAAACAGGGGAAUGGGGGUUGGAUUGAGGAAAACUAGAAGAAGACCCCGAGGAUCCCGAAGAACUGAUAGAGUUUGAAAAGGAGGACAUCAAUGAAGAGAUCGAGGAAGAUGACGAGGAGGAGGACAAGGAGGACGAGGAAUCAGACGUAGAGUCUGAAGUCAUCAACCCUCCCUACAUGGCCAGAGUACCACCGCAUAGGAUGGGCUACAAUGGCCUUACACCUCCUUUGGCUGACACUAUGGGGUCGACGCCAGGGUCAGCAACCAAAAUUUGGGAUGAACCGAGGUUACUACAACCUCCAGCAUGGAGGACCAGCGGAUCGCGCACUCCCUGUCGUGGUCAAACACAUUAGGAACAUCGGCGACCAGACUCAAGUGACCGCCGAUCGGGUGAUGCAGAUGCGAGCGGCCAUGCAGAUCACGGAUGCUCGCACGCGAGACCUCGAGCGAGACUUCUAUCCAAAGGAACGACUCGUAGAAGAUCUUUCCACUGCACGAGCAGAGAUCAUAGAAUACCAGGAGCAACACACCGCUCUAGAGGAGCGUGUACGGAUCCCCGAACGCAGGUUAGCUGAGCUCCAAGGCGCGUCUACCUCAUCGCCAGCACCACCAGGCCCUACUCUUCGCGAUUGGUACCUAUUUAUCUGCUACCGUAUCGAUUUUUCCUUCGUGCACUUCCUUAUGUAUUACCGAUGACAUGAUUAAGUUAUCCCACUACUCAUGGAGUCGUGACUUUGCUAGAUUCUAUUUCACUACAAGCAUUGUAUGCCUUAUGAAGGCAAUUUUACAUGUACUCAGAAGAUUAUUAUCAAUGAAAAACGGAUAUAUNNNNNNNNNNNNNNNNNNNNNNNNNNNNNNNNNNNNNNNNNNNNUAUAUAUAUAUAUAUAUAUUCUAAUGAUGAGUUACCUCUUAUGUGCUCUAUCACUAUUUUUACAUGUUGAUCUUAUGCGCACACUUAUUCAUAUACAACCAAACCACCAAUAUUAUUCUAUGAUCAAGAAAUCGUGAAACAAAAUACAUUGGAUACUCAUUGUCCUUCUGAUCCAUGACAGAAAGAUACCGAGGAGACCGAUCCAAAAGAACAACAACCCAGCACCACCACCGCCCCUGCCGGAGAUGAACUCUGCAGCCUUUCAAGCGGCAUUUUCGGAAACAGUAACAGCAGCAUUAGCCCACAUUCAAAACGGAAAUAACAGUGGUAAUGGUCAAGGGACGGGAAGCUCCCAUCAAGGGAUGAAUCAAGGGCCUGUACCUACAAGGACUUUUCCAAUGCAAGACCCCGCACUUUCAACGGGACUGGAGGAGUUAUAGCUUUGAAACGAUGGAUCGAGAAGGUAAAGUCGGUGUUCGAGAUAUUCGAAUGUCCGGAAGGGGGUAAAGUCAAUUUCGCAGCCUACACCUUCAUCGAUCAGGCAUUUUCAUGGUGGAACGGUCACAUUGAGGCCAUCACACUCCCCUUUGCAAACGCCAUGUCCUGGGAAGAACUCAAAGAAAUGCUAGUCGCUGAGUAUUGUCCCCGAGGGGAAGUACAAAAACUCAAACAAGAACUGUGGAACCUUAUGGUGCAGAACUCGGACCUUGACGCGUAUAUCUUAAGGUUUAACGAACUUGCGUUGUUAUGUCCAGGUAUGAUUACGUCUGAGGGGAAGAAAAUCGAACGAUUCAUCUGGGGGUUGACAACUCCCAUUCAGGGUAACAUGAUUUACUCAAAACCCGAGACCUACGAAGUGCAAAGUGCCUGGCCAAGAAACUUUAUGAUCAUAGUGAUAAGAAAAGUACCAAAACAACCGAGGGAGAGAGCAAACAAGAAGGAGGGAGCAAGAAGAACUAGGGAAACAAGCGAAAAGGACGAUAGAAUUCGGGGCCAUCCAAGAAACCACAAACAGUAUCAGUCCAUUCUGCUACCGCUUCAGCCGCACCAGACCCAACCGCUCCAGUCUCAACCACAACCGCGCCAACAAAGCCAUACGCAGGAUCCAAUCCCAAGUGUGACAAGUGUAACUAUCACCACUAUAGGGCAUGCAAGGAUUUCCAAUGCACCAACUGCAAUCGAAAAGGACAUAAUGUCCGGUAUUGCAAGAUGCCAGCACAACAAAACAAGCAGCCUAAUGACAACAACGCCAGAGCCAGCCGUACCUAUUACGGGUGCGGGGAAACCGGCCAUUUUAAAUGUAACUGUCCUAACAACAAAAUUCAGAAUGUAGGAAGGGUUUUAACCAUGCGGCAAGGAGAGGCGGUGCAAGAUCCAACAAUGUUGACCGGUACGUUUCCCCUCAACAACUCUUAUGCGUGCAUUUUAUUUGAUAGUGGUGCUGAGCGAAGCUUCGUAAGUCACAAAUUCAAACACCUACUCAAUCAAAAUCCUCAAAAAUUGAACGAAACUUACACGGUCAAAAUGGCCAUCGGUAAAACAGAAUCAACCAACAAUGUCUACGUAGGGUGCACACUAACGUUAAAUAAUCACUCCUUCCAAAUCAGUUUGAUGCAUGUUAAUAUUAGGAGCUUUGAUGUGAUUGUUGGCAUGGAUUGGUUAAGCCCCCACCAUGCUGAAAUUAUGUGUCACGAGAAGGCCGUUCGUCUUCACCUACCCAAAAAUGAAACUCUAAUAGUUUAUGGCGAUAAACUUGACACAAACGUCUGACUCAUUUCUUGCAUCCAAGCGCAAAAGUGCUUGCAUAAAAAGAAUCACGCUUUUCUCGUUCAUAUCGUGGAUAAAACAAAGGAGGAGAGAAACAUUAAUGAUAUUCCUGAAGUACAUGACUUUCCCGACGUAUUUCCUGAGGAAUUGCCUGGAAUACCUCCCGAGUGCCAGGUCAAGUUCCGAAUCGAUCUUGUACCUGGAGCCACCCCAAUCGCCAAAUCACCCUACAGGUUAGCUCCUGCCGAAAUGCAAGAGUUUUCUAGUCAACUAAGCGAGCUUCUCGACAAGGGAUUCACCAGGCCGAGCUUUUCACCUUGGGGAGCUCCGGUUCUGUUUGUCAAGAAGAAAGACGGGUCUUUCAGAAUGUGCAUAGAUUAUCGAGAACUAAACAAACUCACCGUCAAGAAUUGAUACCCACUUCCCCAAAUUAAUGAUCUAUCCGAUCAACUCCAAUGAGCCAGUUACUUUUCCAAGAUAGAUCUGAGGUCCGGGUACCAUCAACUAAGAGUCCGAGAGGAGGGUAUUCCAAAGACUGCUUUCCGAACCCAUUAUGGGCAUUUCGAAUUCCUAGUCAUGCAUUUUGGUCUCACAAACGCACCUGUAGCUUUUAUGGACCUGAUGAACCGAGUCUGUCGGCCGUUUCUCGACAACUUCGUAAUUGUUUUCAUCGAUGAUGUACUCGUUUACUCUAAGGUUAAGGAGGAGCACAACCUACACUUACAACGGAUUUUGGGGACACUGAGAGCAGAGAAGCUUUACGCAAAGUUCUCCAAAUGUGAAUUCUAGAUUCGUAGAUUAGAAUUUUUGGGUCAUUUAGUUAGUGAAAAGGGGAUACAUGUGGACACUACUAAGAUCAAGGCUAUUGAGCGAUGGACAAACCCAAGAACCCCAACCGAAAUCCGAAAAUUUUUAGGCCUAGCUGGUUAUUAUCGAAGGUUCAUCCAAAACCGCCAAGCCUCUCACCGCUCUCACCCAGAAGGGUGUACCUUUCCAUUGGAACGAUAAACAAGAACCUGCAUUCCAAACCCUGAAACAAGCCCUCUGCAGUGCUCCGGUGUUGUCCUUUCCAGAAGGAACGGAAGACUUCAUAGUAUACUGCGAUGCUUCUAAUCAAGGGUUAGGUUGUGUUCUUAUGCAACGAGGAAAGGUGAUAGCAUACUCAGGAAGUUAUGAAGCCAGAAAACAUCGCCAAUGAGGCAUUGCGUGGAAUGGAGAAGAAUCUGACGGUCAAAGAAGACGGAGCCUAUUAUCUUAUGGAGCAAAUCUGGACACCGAGGUGCAGUGGACUUUGGGACAUGAUAACGAAUGAGGCUCAAAAAAACAAGGUACUCUAUCCAUCCGGGUUCCGAAAAUAUAGGAAAAUAUAGGAGUUUGUGGAGGAAACGAUUUUAUACGAUUUCGAAAAUGACAAACUAAGGCCCACAUGCCACUAUACUCAAUUUGAAACAAGACUUACAACUAUUUUGAUAAGAAAAUAUUGGAUUUUCUGGAUUUCUAAACUAUCAUCGAAGUUUUAUAUGAAAAUGCUUAUCAACUCACCAACAUAUUUUAUGUUGACGCUUUUCAAACGACUUGUAUAGUUGUAUUCUCAGGAAACGAAUAAGCAGGUUAUGAAGUGCGGACUCAGUAUUAUUUUGCUGUGUUUUAGGAAUUACUUACUGAUGUUUCUUUUGUGUAAAAUUUGAGAACAUAAACAUGAUGUAAAACAAUGUAAGUUUGAUAUCAAUGUAUGAUGUUUGGAUUUGCUAUGUUUCAUUUAUAUGCAAUUGUUAUGAUACUACACAAUGAAGUCACCUGUCUCCGGACAUUUCCGUCGUUCUGGUCCGGGGGUGUGACAAGUUGGGAGUUUCAAAUGCAAGAGGUUCAAGGAAAAAUGUUAAUCGUAUAUGAUAUAUAGAUGUUUUUUGUGAAUAUAGCAUUCUAAUAGAAGCUAUCAAGCUAGUGAUCAAUUAUGGGUUUCUAUUCACCAUUCUCUUCAAUGGAUAAGCGUGAUUGGGGGAAUUCGUAACAAUCAAAUACAGCGUGUGUGUGAUUGUGACCAGGGUUGAAACAAGCCGAGCCCGAGCAUGGCCUAGUUCGGUUUGGGCUCAUAUAAGUUAAUAGGGGCUUGAGCUCGAGCUCGACUUGAUUCGAGUUUUAUAGUACGGAGCUUGGCUCCGACCUGUGAAGAAUUAUAUAAGCUCGACUCAUUUUUUUUAUUUGACGAGCAUGAAUAAUCUAAAUCUUGGUUGGAUGUCAUUAAGAAGCUCGUUUACUAAUACCCUAAAUCCCUAAUUCCAUAAUUCCUUAAAUAUGUUGUUAUUUUAACAUAUAAAAAUAAUAAUAAAUUAUACUAUGUUGGAUUAGGUGUCUAAGAGCAUAAUUAUAAUUGGUAUAAACUUGAAUUGAUAGUAGCGUGAUCCUUUUUGGUUGCCUUCAAACCUGGCAAUUGAAUAAGAUAACUUUUGGAGAGAGAGAGGAAUGAUUUAUUAAUUUAUUACUUGGUUAAUAAAUUAAUAAGAAAUCAAAAUAAAUGAUUUAUUAAUGUAUUGUGGAAAUAAUAUAUUAAUUAGAAAUCAUAUUGUUUAAUUAAUAUUUAAUCGAAAAUUAAUUUGGAAUUGAUUUUAGGAUUAAAUGAAUUAAUUAAAACUGCGGGGUGUUGGAACCUGAAAGUGAACCUCUAGCAAUCCUACCUACUUAUUCUGAAGUGUUCAUGUUCCGAAGUGGGGAGUGGUCUGGAUCAUGGUCCGGACCAGGAGAGAAGGCGAAGCGAAGACUAAAGGCAUUCCGGAGUGACUCUCAUGUCCGGAAUGAAUGUUGAUCUGGAAGAACAUUAUUUUGUCUUAGAGUAUUUAUUAUAUUUGUACUUGUAUUGAUGUAACGUUUCAUAGGACUUAGUCUUUUAUCUUAUUUAGACAAUCAGAAUGUCAGAAAUAUUUCUUUUGUCCGGUCCUAUGUAAACAUUCUAGUUAAUUUGUAGUAAUCUUUACUCCUAUUUAAAGGAGAAUUCAAUACAAGUCAAAAACGGAUCUUUAACUCAACUUUUGGCUCUUUACUAAGUUAUUUCAAACAUUCUUCUUGUUCUUCAUUUAUUAACUUUACUUUGAUCAUUUACUCUUAUUCUUCAUUUAACGACUUGAUCAUUUGUUGAAUUUAUUAUCUAAGACUUGACUGGUCUUUCUAGGCUUGAUUUGCACAUUUAUUAGCAAGCAGACAUUGAUCUUAAGCAUUCACUCGAGGUUUGAAUUUUCAAACCUUGUCCCUGCGCAUCGAUCUAGUUCUCACAAUUAGUAUCAGAGCUUGAGUGGUUGUCCUUUGAAUCCAUAAGAUCAUGUUAUAGUUGGUUUGAGAUUACCUUGGUAUUUUUACCAUUUUUGUGUUUAGGAUAAAAGUUAUUCUAUAUACCACUUUAGCUUGAAGAUAUCUUAACUUCAAUGGCUGCUUCUAAUCGUCAACAAAUGAUUUCAAUGCCAAUCGCAAACAGUGUGGGUGGCCCUACACAUGCCCUAUUACUAGUUGUGGAAGAAUAUGAUCACUGGAAAGUUAGAAUGGAAAGGUUUUUACUGGCCAAAGAUAAAGGUGAAGAAAUCUGGAGAUCCAUCCAAAAGGUCCACAUGUUCCUGUAAGAACUGUUGUAAGGGAUGCAGCUGCUCAUCUCAUGCAUGAAGAUGAAACUCGCUCAGCUCCUCUAACUGUAUAUGAUAUCGAGAAGCUUCAUGCUGAUCAAGUCGCUUUCUCUGAAAUGGUGUUUGGUGUUCCACCUUCACUCUUUGAACACAUCAAGCUUUGCAAAUCAGCCAAAGAGAUUUGGGACACUCUUCAGGGCCUGAUUGAAGGUUCAGAAAACAUGAAAGAAAAGCGCCUCACCUCAGUUGUCAACGACUUUGACACCUUCACCACCAGUCCUGGUGAAUCAGUGGCCUCUGCCUCCAACCGUUAUCGUAUUGUGGCGAACAACAUGACUAUCUCAUGGGAUUGUUUGAACUCCUUUGGAGUACAAUCUCAGAUUCAUAAACAAUCUCGGCAAAGGAUGGGGAAAUGUAAUAUCUUGUCUUCAAAGAAAUGGUUCUUUGAAAAAGUUGAAGCUUUAUCAAGCUUUUGAUGAACUUCAAGGACAUGAGUCAAAUGUUGCUCAAACCAUAAGGGAACUCUCUUGAGGUCCUCUUGCCCUUGUCAGUUCUUUUGAAUCAGCUAUUCCGAACUCAUCUACUUCAGAUCCUUUCAAACCCAUUAUUCCAUCUGUUCAAACAUCCGCACCUACCUUAUCUCCACAAACUUAUCAUGUUGAUGAUUCCGAAGCCAUGGACUCUAAACUCCGUUUUCAGCAGGAGUUUGUUUUACUCUCAAUGAACUACAAACGUCCUUUCAAUUCCUCCUACAAACCAUACCAAAACCAAUUCCAUGCUCAUCACCAGAACAAUCCUCAACCAUACUCAGCUCCAGAACCAAAACCCUCUUCAGGAAAUCCUCCUGCAUACAAACCAAUCCUCUCUAAACCAAACUCUACUUCGGAACCCUCUCAAAGCUCCAAAUUAGACAAACCAAAAAUUAUGUGUCAUAAGUGUGGACAUGCAAACCAUUUUUCUAAAGAUUUUCUGGCUGAUGCUCUGUAGAAACAAAAAAUCAAGCAUUCUGUAUACUACGUCUGAAAGGCACAAGAUAUGGCUGAAAGCGAAAAAGCCUUUGUUACAACAAUUUAAGGAGAUGUUGAAGGAUAUUGGUCAUCCAUGGAUGAUGAUGACAUGGUAACUUGAAGAAAUAUUUGUCUGAUGGCAAGACAAACCAUUGAAUAUGAUGAAGGGUAUUGGUCUUCAGGAUCAGAAGAUGAAGAUGAUGUUGUUGAACCUCACUAUUGCUACAUGGCAACCAAUGAUCCACCAGGACGAAGCAUCGUUCAGCAGCUAAAAUCUAUGAUCUCUGAUAAUAACUUUGACUUUUCUCUCUGUGAACCCUAUCUGACCCAAAUUCAAACAGAUAUGAACACCAUCUAUAAAGCCUAUGAGUCUGCCAUAGACGCAAGUGAGUAGGAGUGUGAGUUAAAUCAUCUUAGGUUACGUUUCGAGGAUAAAAAGUUGAAAAACUAGUCUUUAGAGCGUGAACUUGUAAUGUUAAGUGAUGAAUGUAUCAUUUUGAAAGAUAAAUGUGAAAUCACCUAUUCCGAAUGAAAUGUUUUGAUUUCUAAUAAUAAACGUCUUAAUGCCAAGAUAGAUGCUUUGCAUAAUUCUGUAGACAUGCUUAAAGCAGACCUUCGGAUGACUCAUAAUUUUCGUCACCCAUGGUCUAAUGUACCUGGUCUCGGAAGCGAGUUUCUGAAACGAAUUGCUAUUCCCCUGAAGGAAUCACAAAAUUUGACAUUCAUGGGAGAGGUUCUCAACAUUAAACAUUCGGACACCCCCGUUUCUCCCUUGUCACCACUUCCGGAGACUACAGACCAUUUUGAGUCCUUAAUUCCUGAGUUUAAACCAAUUGUUGUCAAGUGUCCUGACUCCACACCACUUCCGCUUCUAACUAACCUGGACCUGAAUCAGACCACAAAAUUUCAUUAUAGUCUUCCAAAUUUUGUAGAUUAUGUUCCUAUGAGUAAUCACACAAACAACAGUGUAGUUGAAGAAAUUCCUUCCUUGGCAACCAAAACGGACAUCUCUGAGUUUGUAUGUGCAUCCUUAGAUGAUAAAGUUGAAAAAUCAAGUUGUGUCUCCUCUGAUUCUUGCGAAUCGGAUUCCUUAGCGGUCUCAAAAACUACGUUGUUUCCCAUUACUCCUAAGUUUAGCAAUCCACCUGCAGGACAAACCUCAAAAUCCUUACAUCAACUAAAAGAAAACCAAUGCUGAAUACGAAGGAUAUUGUAGAUCCCAAAGUAGAAGCUCAAAAUGCAGAUAAGAAAGAAUUCAAAACUAGACUAAAUUCCAGGUUCGUUGAAAACUCCAAACGAAGUGCAUCUCGGAAUUCUCAUGCAUUACCUCACUGUCAAAACUCUUUUGCUCCCACUAAGAUUCUUAAAAGGCCUUCUGAAUCUCCCAGUCGCAUAGUACCCAAGAAAGUAGACGAUUCUACUUGGCGUCAAUCUUGUGUGAAUGUCAAGACGGUCCAGAACACCUUUCCUCAUACUCUUUCAUCAGUUUUUAUUGCAAAAUCUGAUGGCACAAUUUUUAAACCAAAUCAUUCUAAAACCAACGUGUCAUCAAGCAAAUCCAAAAAUGUAGGGAAAACAUCUUUUUCAAAAUCUUCAAAGAAAAAUCUUGUGUGGAAUAUCAAAACUUCCAUUGAUGAAAAGUCAAUUCCGGAGGUUACAAAUGUUACCCACACUCUGGAAGUCAUAGGUACGAAGAAGACUGUUCGGAACCCUCAAGUCAUUAAAUAUGACUAUCGGACAGAUGAAAAGACAUUGAAUUUCUGUCUAUUUCCAAAAACUUCAAAGAAUAUCACCCAAAAACACAAAGUUGUUCCAAAGUCACCAUCAAAGUCCAAAGCUCGUGCCUACGUCCCAAAGUCUAAUUCAGAGCCUAAAAACUCCAUUACUCACUAAUUUUAUAGGAACUUUGUGCUUCGGAGAAAGAUACAAUAUGGUAUAUUGAUAGUGUGACAUCCCCAAAAUCACGACCAUAAAAGACCGAUUUCAUUUAUGCUUUUUAAAAUAAUUUCAGAGUAAAUCCUUUUGAUUUAAAAGUGUUGCGGAAUUUGUUCCCAAAACAAAACAUGAUAAAAUAAUAUUUAUCAAAGCAUUUCAUCAAGAGAUGCAUUUUUAUUUAUAUAAUCAAAACUCGGGAUGUCAUGUUCCGAUACAGACCAUAAAGCAUAAACGAUAACAUUACAAGUCAUUCAACAAAUAUAUACAUAUACAGACUUGUAAACAAAAACAACUUGAUGAUUCGCCCAUCUUAAGCUCUUGCGCCACUUCCUGUAAUACAAAUCAACUGAGUGGGUCAGGCUUGGGAGCCUGGUGAGCAUAUAGGGUUUUCAAACCCACAAUAAUUAUAUUUAAUUACAACAAUCAACAAUAAACCCGAUUACCCAUUCCCGUUAUCCUCACCUUACGUUCCUAAAAAUAACGUCUAUUAUAAGGAACUUAUUUCAGGAUUUUCAUCGGGACGGACAUUACUGCAGAGGGGCUUCCUCAACAAUAAGUGUCCUAAAGGCAACCAUGUGGGGGAUAGAGUACACCGGUGAACACGUCGUUCACAACACCUACAGGUAAUGAGCCUGCUAGUGUUCCACAGGACAGUCUAGAAUAGUCCGUGGUCGUCAUCCAUACUCUGCUGAAUGACUAGAAUAACACCAAUAACACCGAGGCCUCUCAUCUGUUUAUUUCACACCAAUUAUCUACCCAUGUUCUACCCAACAUAUUAGUAGAUAAAAAUAUACAUUUUUAUACAUUGUUAAAAAACCUGUAUAGCAUGCUUUAAUCAAUACAUAUUCCACAUAACAGAUGAGGCAUACACACAUAACACGUAUUUCAUAGAGAAUAUACAUUCACACAUAUAACCACAAAAUAUAUACACGUAGCACGUAUUUUAUAUUAAAUACUUCAUAAUAUUGCGUAUUGAAAAGGGACUAUACACUCACUUGAUCAGAAGAUGAUCCGACAGCACUACGGCUUAUAGAAGUAGCGUCUCUCCGCAGAUCUGGAAGAUCUUCACAAAAACCGGCUCCUCGCGGGCAGGGCUUCGGCUCGGGAAUAACGCUCUUCGGGAUUCUCGGGGCUUCGGAUCUCGCUUCGGGGCUCGGGAAUAAUACCGGGGCUUCGGGAUAUGAUUGGCACGCAAAUCGAGGCAAAACUUAGAGAGAGAGAAGAGUUUGAACAAGAGAAAAUGGCUGAUUUCGAGUUCUAUUUAUAGGCUGAGGGUCUGGGAUUACGCGGGGCGUAAUCUCAAAUUACGCAGGGCGUACUCAGUACGCGGGGCGUACUCGGUUACGCGGGGCGUACUUUGACGUCACUGCAUGCGUCGAUCUGUGGCACUCGAGUAUUGGUCAGACAAGUUGCAUCCGACUGAGUACGCGGGGCGUACUCAAUUACGCGGGGCGUAAUUGACUCGUCGAACUUCUAAAUUGCGUAACUUUCGCAUACGAGCUCCGUUUUCGACGUUCUUUAUAUCCACGCGAAGGUCAGACCAUACUCUACAACUUUCAUUUAGACUCCGUCGGCUAAUUUUGACUUUUAUUUUUAUUAUUUAUUUUUAGAAGGCCGGGACAGAAAAACUUCGUUAUAAAUUCAUAACUUCUUCGUCUGACGUCCGUUCUCGCCUAACUUUUCAUCGUUUCGCUACUAACAACGAGAUCUUCGAUUCUCAUUUAGAUUGUUUCGGCUAAAAACCGCUCGAUCUCAAAUCGAGUAUUCGGGCUGCAUACUGCUAAGUCGAAACUUAGAAAAAUCAUAACUUCCUCAUACGAAGUCAGAUUUGGGCGUUCCUUUUAUGCACGCUCUCGGUUUAACGAAAUCUACGACUUUCGUUUAGAUCGCUAAGGCUAAAUAUCGCUCUAUCUUAAAUUCAUAUUUUACGUCACUCGACGUCGUGCCGGUUCUGUCGCGAAACUUCGACAGGUCAUAACUUCUUCGUUAUAACUCGGAUUUUGGCAUUCCUUAUAUCUCCGGAAUCCUUGUUUCAACCACUACAACUUUAUGCAAAGAUAUCGGGCUUAUCUCACACUUUAAUUUUGACGCUUAUUUUAUUCUUAAUUCAUUAAAUUAUAAUAAUUAAGAAAAUAAACACAUAAAUCACAUAAUUCACAUAAUUCACAAAUAAUACAUUUUUAUUAUUUCAAAUUGGGGUUACAAAGGUUAACCUAGACUAUUACAUUGCUAAAAAUGGCAAGCCCAGAAACACGGGCGUUACAAUUCUCUCCACCUUAGAAUGAUUCCGUCCCCGGAAUCACACACCAGCAAACAAAUGCGGAUAGCGACUCAUCAUGUCACUCUCCGUCUCCCAGGUGAGAUUCGGCCCAUUCGUGUGUUUCCAUCGGACAAGCACUAACUCAACCAUCUUACGUCGCAAUUUCUUAGUCUUUCGGUCAACGAUUGCCUCCGGUUCCUCAAUCAACCUUUUGUUCUCAUCGAUCCUCAACUCCGAAAGUGGAAUUAUGUCGGGAACUUCUCCCGUGAACUUCCUCAAGUAACACACAUGAAAAGUGUUAUGAAUUCCAUUCAGUUCUUCUGGUAGUUCGAGUUUGUAAGCUUGGUUCCCAAUCCUCUGAAGAACUUUAAACGGUCCAAUAAACCUUGGACUUAACUUUCCCCUUUUACCAAAUCUUAUAAGUCCCUUCCACGGCGAGACUUUAAGCAAAACCGAAUCUCCAACUUCAAAAGUCAUCGGUCUUCGCUUUUUGUCAGCAUAGCUCUUUUGACGGUCCUGAGCUGCUAACAUUCUUUCCCUAAUUAUUCUCAACUUUUCAGCCGUUUGAUGGACUAUCUCCGGUCCCAUAAACUGCUUUUCCCCAGCCUCAAGCCAACAAGACGGCGUACGACACUUCUGUCCAUACAAUGCUUGAUAAGGUGCCAUCUUUAUGCUCGAGUGAAAACUAUUAUUAUAGGAAAAUUCUACCAAAGGUAAAUGUUCAUCCCAAUUACCUAGGAAUUCCAAGGUACACGCUCUCAGCAUAUCUUCAAGUGUUUGUAUCGUUCUUUCACUCUGACCAUCAGUCUGCGGAUGGUAAGCUGUACUUAAACACAACUUGGUACCCAAUUCCUCUUGUAGACUUUUCCAAAAUCGUGAGGUGAAACGACUAUCACGAUCCGACACAAUCGUUAACGGAACACCGUGAAGCCUCACAAUUUCCUUCACGUAAGAAUUCGCAAGCUUUUCCAUAGACCAUUUCUCGUUGGCUGCUAUGAAAUGCGCACUCUUAGUGAAUCGAUCAACGACCACCCAAAUCAUGUCGUGACCACUUUUUGUUCUGGGUAGUUUAGUGACAAAAUCCAUAGCAAUGUCUUCCCACUUACCCAUAGGCACAGGUAAUGGUUCUAAACUCCCGUAUGGUUUCUGAUGUUGUGCCUUGACUCUUGCACAGGUCACACACUCGGCCACAUACUUCGCAAUGUCGAGCUUCAUCGUCGGCCACCAAUAAUAGGGUUUCAGGUCCCUAUACAUUUUUGUGCUACCGGGAUGAAUCGAGUACAUGGUUUUGUGAGCUUCUUCCAUCAGAAGAUCUCUGACUCCUCCUGUCUUAGGUAUCCAAAUCCGAUCUUGGAACACCUUCAGUCCGUGACUGUUUACACCGAACACCAACGUUUUGCCCAAACGUUCCUCCUUUCGGUCAUUUUUCUCAGAAGCUUCGCUUUGAGCUUUCUUUAUACUUUCCAAAAUAGUCGAGACAACUUCAAUUCUCAACGCUCUUGGCCUUUUCUUUUCAAGAUUGACCUUCCGACUGAGAGCAUCAGCAACAAUAUUGGCCUUACCGGGGUGGUAAAGUAUCUCACAGUCGUAGUCCUUAAGUAAUUCCAGCCAGCGUCGUUGCCUCAUAUUCAAUUCUUUCUGACUAAAGAGAUAUUGGAGACUCUUAUGAUCAGUGAAAAGUUUGCACUUCGUGCCAUAGAGGUAAUGCCUCCAUAUUUUCAGUGCGAAAACUACCGCUGCCAACUCCAAAUCAUGAGUCGGGUAGUUCUUUUCGUGCUCUUUCAGCUGUCGAGACGCAUAUGCGAUCACCUUAUCCCUUUGGGUCAAAACGCAACCCAAUCCAACCCCAGACGCAUCGCUAUAAACAGCGAAGUCUUCAACCCCAUCGGGUAGAGAAAGUAUCGGUGCCUCGCAUAGUUUCUUCUUUAGCUUCUCGAAUGCUUCUUUAUGCUUAUCACUCCAAGCAUAAGUAGCUCCUUUGUGGGUCAAAGCUGUUAAUGGACUAGCGAUCGAAGAAAAGCCUUGGAUAAACCUUCGGUAAUAUCCGGCUAAUCCCAAAAAGCUUCGGAUCUCCGUGGGACUUUUCGGUUGUUCCCACUUCAUCACAGCUUCGAUCUUCGCUGGAUCAACCAUUAUCCCUUCUUGGUUGACCACGUGACCCAAGAAUUGGACUUCACGAAUCCAGAAAUCACAUUUGGAGAACUUCGCAUACAACUUCUCCUUCUUCAAGACUUCUAACACUUCUCGCAAGUGUCUGCCAUGCUCCUCUUGGCUUUUUGAAUAAAUCAGAAUGUCAUCUAUGAACACUAUCACAGAUUUAUCUAGGAACGGAUUACAAACCCUGUUCAUUAAAUCCAUGAAUGCUGUUGGAGCAUUGGUUAGUCCAAACGACAUAACCAAAAACUCGUAGUGUCCAUAUCGCGUUCUGAAUGCAGUCUUCUCUAUAUCCUGCUCUCUUACUUUCAGCUGAUGAUAUCCUGACCUCAGGUCGAUCUUUGAAAAAUAACUUGAACCUUGUAGUUGAUCGAAUAGGUCAUCAAUCCUUGGCAACGGAUAUCUAUUCUUUAUUGUUGCCUUAUUCAGCUCUCGGUAAUCAAUGCACAUCCUCAUGCUUCCAUCUUUCUUCUUUACGAAUAACACCGGAGCUCCCCAGGGUGAUGAACUAGGUCUAAUGAAACCUUUGUCCAAUAACUCCUGAAGUUGCAUCAUUAGCUCCUUCAUCACCAUCGGUGCUAAUCGAUAAGGUGCUUUCGCAAUCGGCGUUGUCCCUGGUAACAAGUCUAUAUGGAAUUCCACUUGUCGAUCAGGUGGUAAUCCAGGAAGAUCUUCGGGAAAUACUUCCGGAUAAUCACACACAACGGAAAUAUUCUGCAUCGCAUUCUUUUCCUUCUUAGCAUUGAUCACGAAUGCUAAGUAUGAUGUACACCCCUUGGUCAAACAUUUUCUGGCUUUCAUCAAUGAAAUGAUUCCAGAAUUCACUUUGCGUUUGUCUCCAUACACCAUAAACGAUUCCUUCCCAGGCGGGUUCACUUUCACUAUCUUCUUCUUGCACAAAAUUUCGACAUCAUUAGCGCUAAGCCAAUCCAUUCCCAAUACGAUGUCGAAACCAUUAAGUUCGAUAGGCAAUAAUUCCUCGUGGAACUUAUUCCCAUUCAGAUCAAUUAAGAUGUUUUUCAUACGAUGGCUAACAGGUACAAACUUGCCACUAGCAACUUCGACUAAUAAGGCAUUAUCUAGUCUAACAACAGGCAAAGCUAGUUUUCUACCAAAUUCAUGCGAUAUAAAGGAGUAGUUGGCUCCAGAAUCAAAUAAAAUUUGGGCAGGCAAUUUGUUUACGAGAAAGGUACCUGAAGCGACAUCAGCUUCAUCUUUAGCAGCUUCCAGUGUCAUCUGGAAUGCUCUCGCCUUUGGCUUUGGUGGAAUGUUGGGUCUAGCUGCCUCCUUCUUCUUUGGGCAGUCCCUCGACAGGUGUCCCUCCUCACCACAACCAUAGCAAACCUUCUUAGAAAAGGUGCAUUCAUUGGCAUAGUGCCAUGGCUUUCCACAUUUGUAGCAUGUGGCCGCUACCUCGCAUUUUCCAUGAUGCUUCUUUUUACAUUUUUCGCACCACUUUGCUUCGCCUCCACUUCCCCUCGAACCAGACUUCGAGAACUUGUUUUUCUUGUUGGACCCUGAAGUUCCAUCGAACUUCCUCUUUUCUCCAACAUCUAUCCUUUCCAGACCCUUUUCCUUCUGCUGGGCCUCCACAUUCUUAGCUGCACGAACAACCGUUUUCAGAGUAGUUGCCAUCUUGACUGUCGGACCAAAGUCGGCAGGCAGUCCAUUAGCAAACCUCUCAAUCUUGGAGAGUUCCGUUGGCACUAGGUACGGAAAUAACUUCAUUUUCUCAGUGAAUGCAGUAGCAUAGUCAUCUAUGCUCAUCCUCCCCUUCUUCAAGUUUUGGAACUCAUUGUUCAGAUCAAUCAGAUCUAUCUCUGAACAAUACUGCACCCUUAGUUGUUCCAAGAACUCCUCCCAUGACAUUUUCAGGGCUUCUCCUCGUGGCAUAGUAUCUGCCAACAACUUCCACCAACUCAAGACUCCAGUCUUCAGUUGUCUAACCGCAAAGACGGUCUUCUGUUUGUUGCUACAGUCGCAACUUUCAAAUACCAUCUCCAUUUCGGAGAUCCAAUCCAUUAUCUCAACAGGCUUUGGGCUCCCAGAAAGACUUGGCGGCUUGGCGCCCAAGAAGUUCUUGUACAUUCGCCCAUCCUUGUUGUUUCUCCUUUCCGGAUCGUUCCUUCGUUCUCCUUGAGUCCCAACUUGACUCAUAAUGUGACUAUUGUUCCCUUCCUCUGAUUGCUCGGGAAUCAAUUCGGGUUCCUCAAUAGGUAUGAUAGGUUCGUCCCUAUUAUCAUGCAACAUCUGUCGCAUCUCAUCCCUUUGUUCGGCUAACAUAGCCCGAAUCAUGGCUUGCACCCCAGCCAUUGUUAUUGGUUCUGGUGCUGCUGCUACAACAGGUAUUUGCUCAAUCACUGGCGGUUGAUUCCUGUUUUCAUCCGCGUUUCCAACGCCACUCCUUGUUCUCACCAUUUUUGAUCUACACACCGAAUAAGGUGAAAUUUAGAUCUUCAUUCACGAUAGAUUUCAAAUCAUCCUUAUCACUCCGAAACAAUUACAUGCUAGUUCUAAUAUCGUAUAGAUAAGCUUAGAAUCCUAAACACAUAAACCUUCAGAUUCGGUUGGCAACGAACCGUAGAUCCGAACAAC
rnacentral:lncRNA from 1 species